UCACCUCACCACCACACAAUCAUUGAAACAAAUUAUGAAUCCCAUAGAAAGGUUUUUGAGUGCAUUGUUUCUCUUCCUUGUUUUUCCUUCUUGCUUAUCUAUUGACAUCAUAGCUCCAAACCAAUCAAUCAAAGAUGGAGAUGUUCUGGUCUCUAGUGGACAAAGCUAUGAACUCGGGUUCUUUAGCUCAGGCAUCGUUUCUACUCGUCGUUAUGUGGGAAUUUGGUACCGUAAGGUUUCAGAACGAACUGUUGUAUGGGUGGCAAAUAGAGAUAAUCCUAUCAAUGGUACCUCCGGAGUCCUAACUAUCAACAAACAAGGUAACCUUGUAAUUUAUGAAAACAACCGAAGUAGUGUUCCUGUUUGGUCUUCAAAUGUUCCAGCCUCAAUAUCAAUGACAAAUUGCACGGCUCAGCUCCUGGAUUCAGGAAACUUGGUCUUGGUUCAACAGGAUAGCAAAGGGAUCUUGUGGCAGAGUUUUGAUCAUGGUACAGAUACUCUGCUUCCUGGUAUGAAGCUUGGGCUGGACCUGAAAAUUGGUUUGAACCGGUCUCUGUCAUCUUGGAAGUCCAAAGAUGACCCGGGAACCGGAACCAUUUUCUAUGGUAUUGAUCCAAGUGGGUUUCCCCAGUUGUUCCUAUACAAGGGUCAAAUCCCAUGGUGGCGUGGCGGACCAUGGACUGGACUAAGAUGGAGCGGAGUACCCGAAAUGACCCCUACCUACAUCUUCAAUGUUACUUUCGUUAACAGCGUUGAUGAGGUAUCUAUAUUCUAUACUAUGAAUAAUCCCUCCAUCAUUUCAAGAAUGGUGGUGAACGAAUCAGGAGUAGUGCAACGGCUGUCGUGGAACGACCGUCAUCAACAAUGGAUCGGAGUUUGGUCCGCCCCAAAAGAACCAUGUGACACCUAUGGCCAAUGUGGUCCAAAUAGUAACUGUGACCCGUAUCAAGCAAAUAAUUUCAUAUGCAAAUGUCUACCCGGAUUCGAACCCAAGUCAUCCCAAGAAUGGUACCUAAGAGACGGGUCAGGAGGUUGUGUCAGGAAACCUAACGUGUCCACGUGUCGCGGCGGAGAAGGGUUCGUCAAGUUGGCUCGAGUGAAGGUGCCGGAUACAUCAAUGGCGAGUGCGAACAUGAAUUUGAGAUUGAAAGAAUGUGAGCAAGAGUGCUUGAGGAAUUGUUCUUGUACAGCUUAUGCUAGUGCUGACGAAAGAGGACUUGGGUGCUUGAGAUGGUAUGGUGAUCUGGUGGAUACAAGAACGUUUUCAGAUGUGGGGCAAGAGAUUUACAUCCGUGUGGAUAGAGCUGAAUUAGGUACAUGUCCAAUUCUACUACUAACUUGUUUACUUUUCCUUUGUUCACUUGCUAUGCUACACGUUUUGAUUCUUGAAGAAAUCUCAUAGACCUGAUAAAUCACAAGUAAUCAUUUUGCUUAUAAUUUAUUAGAAGUAAUUGACUAUUUGUAAAAAUGAUUCCAUUAAGCUUAAGUGCACAAAUAAACUAGGAUUGAUGGCAUAGAAGUAAUAAACUAAUUGUAAAAAUGUUUCUCCAAUUAUAUGAAAGAUAGCUUCCUGAGCAAUGUUUUUUUAUUAAUCAGCACGUAAUUUAUGAAUAGAAUGUUUGAUAAGGCCGGUAGGUCAAUAAAAGUGUUGACACGAAAUCCAUUGAUUAUUCAAUUAAUUUUCAUCAACUCAAUGAACUCGGAAUUGAUUGUUUUGAUUAAGUGAUCAUAUUAUUAUUUACUAGUAUAAUGAAUCGAGUAGUUUUGUCACAAACAUGCCUAUAUUGCUGCUCAUAGAAAUGACUAAAACAUUUUUUAACUUUCCUUCUAAGAAUAUAUAUUAAAAAAUAAAAAAUAUACUAAAACCUUUUUCACAGUAAUCCAUUGUGAAUUUCUUUUCUAAUCAUUAUUUUUUUUUUCUCUUUGUGGCAAACUUAACUACCAAUUUCUUAUAAUUUGUUAUGGAGAAACACAGUUGAAAGAUGGAGGCCAAAGUAUAAAAUAAGAAAAAAUUACAUGUUUGGAUUGAAACUCACACAAGUAAGUGUGUUUAGGUACCUAUACUUUUUUUUUUUGAAUUAUAGUCCCUUUAUUUUCUUAUGAUUUCGUUUUAAUAAAAAACUCUAUUUUUAUUAUUUUUAAAUCCCUAGUUUUGAGAGAUUAGAAAGAAAGUUGUUGGAAAACAACCAAAAAAAAAAAAGUUGUUUGUUAUUUAUAUUUCAGCCACUAAAAAGAUGAUGUUUUAUGUCAACGAGUUUUAUUAGAUUAUGAGAGUUUCAUUUAUGUGUAUUUUCCCUUUAUUUUACUUAAAGAAUUAGAUUGGAGUUCAGAUAAUUUUUUCUUUCAAUUUGAUUUUGUAUUUUUGACAAGCUUUUCGGCGUUUUGAGUGGAGUAGUUGGUUUAUUGAUAUUAUAGGAAUGUUUAUUAUUUUUUUGUAAGUGAAAAUUGGUUGAAAAUCAUAUUUUUAAAUAAAAAAAAGACCAGCUUGAUUUUUCAAUUAUCUGUUUGUUGGUUGAAAACUCGCAUUAAAAAAACAGAUAACCUUACUUUUCUAGCAACAUCAAUAACUAGAUUUUGAAAUUUUUAAAUGACCGUGUCGUUUAUUUUAUUUCAAAUAAAAAGGGUUGGAUGACUAAAUCUUUUCUAAUAUGAUUUUUUAAGAAGAUUAGACAGAAAAGCUCUUAAUAAUCUCUGAUCAGUUCCUCUCUUUCUCUGCUAGUAAACAUGUUCCUAAGUUUUUCCUCAAUUUCUCAACAAAAUCCUAACAAAAAGGGCACAUUCAAAAAGUUAUAUUGUUUAGAGAGCAAAAGUUUUUUUAAGAAAAAAAUUAGUUCAAUUGUAUUUGUUUUUUUUUCACUAGACUUGGGGGGUAAUUUAUAAUUUAGCGAUAUAUUUUCUGAUUUCUACUCCCUUUUCUUGCUUGACGCCAUUCCUCUUCUCUAGUGUUGCCUUUUCUCUUAAUAGACUAGGCGUCUUUCUUUAGCUUUAGUUUCUUUUUUAUUUAAAUAUAAAUUAAUUACAAUAGAUUAAUCCAAUGUAUGUGUGGGAUAUGACAAUUCGGUUUAAUUGAGAUUAAUUAAAUAAAUAUUUGUGAUGUUUUGUAAUAAAAUAUUAUUUAAUUUUUACUUGGUAUCCGAAUAAAAUUAUAAUUUUUUUUUUCUGAUAUUAGUAAGUAUUUUUUUUGUGAAACCUUAUAAUAUAUAUAUAUUUCAGUUUUAUUCAAUUAUUUUUAUAUGCUUGUUUACUUUUAUUAUUGUUUAAAAAAAAAAUCAGUUCAAAGAAACAAAUUCGUUGAAGCAACUAGAUCCAUAGUCCAUGUUUCAAUAUCAGAUAUCUUGAAUUACAUCUAUAUUUUAAUUUUUUAAUUUAGUCUUUGAUUAAAUAUUUUUUGAUAUUUUGCUUAGUUUUAAAAUAAAAUUAUAACAUUUUUUCAAUAUUAGUAUUUGUUUUUGUGUAACCCUACAAAGUCUCUUUUUUUUUUCUUCGAUAUUAUUCAAUCACUUUCAAAUACACAUUUGUUUUUAUUAUCGUUUGAUAAAAUAAAAAAUUAAUUUCAAGAAAUAAAAUUAUUAAACAUGAUGAAGUUCAUGGACUCUAAUAUAAGAUUAAUAUCUUUAUCUAUUUUCAUUUCUUAAUUUUUCAGUUCAAUUUUUAGUUUUUAUUAAUGAUUUGUUUAUUUUUUGUGUUUAUUAUCAUAAAUAAUUCUUAAUUUAUUUAAUUAAAUAUAUAUAUGCAUCAGUUUUUUAAUUUACAAUUAAAAAAAAAAAUAUAUCAUAAAUAUGUUUCAAACGUCUAUAUAUUCGUGUUUUUGCAUAAAAAAAUAAUAAUUUGACCAUGGCAAAGCAAGUCAAGUGGCUCGUUUCCUACUAAUUGUACUUGUCUUCAAGAUCCAUGCACCGCAUCGGCGACCAUGUUUAUCAUAAUUUCUUGUCUUGUAUAUAUAGUAUAGUCCAGUCUCAUCUACUCAGACAAACUUAAAAAUUAAAUUUAGUUUACUUAAGUCUCAAGCUCGUAUGAUCCUACGAAGGAGAUAGAAACAACAAAUCAUAGUAAAUAAAGUUUUUGGGGCGAGCAAAUUAGGUGAUGAAAAUUAUUCAAUACUUGUAGUUUACUCUUUGUUUUUUAAUUUCUCACAUUUAUAUGGUAUUCAAUUAUAUGAAAAAAAAUAAAAUAGAAUAGAGAGUAAUUAAAUAUAAAUUUAUAGUACUGAAUAAUUCCAAAUCAACAGCUUGAAAGAUUUAAUUUUCAACUCUUAUCACUAAACAUUUCUUAUAUUUUCAAUUUCAGCUAAAUAUGAAAAGUCAGGACCUCUUGCCAAUAAAGGAAUUAAAGCAAUCCUGAUAGUGUCUGUUGUUGUGACAUUGUUUCUGAUCAUCUUCCUUGUGUGUUGGUUUGUAAAGAAAAGGAGAAAAGGUAAGCAAAUUCCCUUCAAAUGUUGCUCCUGAGCAAUAUAUUUUUCGUAACAUUAUUAAACUCAGGGUGUUGAGUCAGUAAAAAUGCAAUAUUUCUCAGAGAGUCUUGAGCUCAAAAAAAGAUACCUUGAGUUAGAAGUUUUACCAGCUAGAAAUAAGUUUGCAUGUUGAUGACAGCCAGGGACAGGAAAAGAAGAAACGAAUUUCCGCUAUCAACUUCAAGGUCAAAUUGCUCGAGAAACUUACCAAUUAAGGAAUUUGAGGAAGGUACAACAAGUUCAGAUUUACCACUUUUUGAUCUUAGUGUCAUAGCUGCGGCAACAAAUAAUUUCUCAGAUGCCAACAAGCUUGGAGAGGGUGGUUUUGGCUCAGUGUAUAAGGUAGCCUAGCCUGCCUUGAAGUCCCUCAAACACAUAGCAUCACUUCAGUUUACAUGUUGAACUAUGAGAUUGAUGAAUUUGGAUUGAGAUUUUCAGGGUCUGCUGCAUGAUGGAAAGGAAAUUGCGGUCAAAAGACUAGCAAAGUAUUCUGGACAAGGGAUUAAUGAGUUCAGAAAUGAAGUCGAGCUCAUUGCAAAACUUCAGCACAGGAAUCUUGUGAGGAUAUUAGGUUGUUGCAUCCAAGGAAGAGAGAAGAUGUUGAUCUAUGAAUACUUGCCAAACAAAAGUUUGGACUCUUUUAUUUUCAGUAUGUCAUCAUCGAUCAUUAUGUCAAAUUGUCCCUAUAUUGUGGAUUUUUCAGUUUUUCUCAUUCUAUAGAAGUUGAAAAAUGAUUACAAGCCUGCAUUGAUUUGAUGAGAUUUAUGCUUCUUUGGGUACAGAUGAACCAAGAAGGUCACAGUUAGAUUGGUCUACUCGCCACAACAUUAUUUGUGGGAUUGCUCGAGGAAUUUUAUAUCUUCAUCAGGACUCCAGAUUACGAAUCAUCCACAGAGAUCUUAAGGCAAGCAAUGUUCUACUAGAUGCCUCAAUGAACCCUAAAAUUUCAGAUUUCGGCAUGGCUAGAAUAUUUGGAGUAGACCAAAUUGAAGCCAACACAAACCGUGUUGUUGGAACGUAGUAAGUUUAUCCUUAUUUAAUGAAUUAUAUUAGAAAAUAAUAUAAGAUUAUUUUUAGAAUUUUAUCUAAUAAUUCAAGUUUUUUAGAUAAAUUAAUUUUUCGACAUAAUAUUAGAAUUUUAAUUAUUUUAUCUAAUUAAAUUAAUAAAACUAAGAACUUAUACAAGUUUUAAAUGUUAAAAAAUAAUAUAAAAUUAUUUUUAAAAUCUUAUAAAAUUAUUUUUAUUUAUAUUUUUCUGAACAGCUGACUUUAUUAAGCUCUUCUUUUCCUAUGUUAUUGCAGUGGUUAUAUGUCACCAGAAUAUGCAAUGCAAGGCUUAUUUUCAGUAAAAUCCGAUGUAUAUAGUUUCGGGGUUUUGCUAUUAGAGGUCGUCACUGGGAGAAAAAACAGCCAUUUUUAUGAUGAAAGUAACUCUUCGAACUUGGUUGGAUAUGUAAGUAAUAAGAUCACAUAUACAUAUAUUGCCGAUUUUAAAAUUUCAACUCCAACAUAGCAUACUGAUGUGAAAUUUCUUUAGGUUUGGGAUCUAUGGAGAGAAGGCAGGGCCCUGGAACUAGUGGAUACAUUGAUGGGCGACUCGUAUCCUGAAGAUCAAGUCUUAAGGUGCAUCCAAAUUGGUCUUUUAUGUGUGCAAGAAUCUGCGAUGGACCGACCAUCAAUGUCUGAUGUUGUUUUCAUGUUGAGUAAUGACACAACUCUUCCAUCGCCCAAGCAACCUGCGUUUAUUAUGAAGGAGAGUUACUAUAGUGGAGAUCCAUUAACAAGUGAAGGAUCACAUUCUAUAAAUGAAGUGACAAUCACCAUGCUUGGACCUCGGUAGAGGCUUACAUAUAUCUGACGUUCUACUUUUAUUUGUUAAUAUUAAUGUGUAUUGAUAUUAUGAUAGCUUUUACGAUAAUAUUUUAAAAAUUAGGUUUAAAGUGGAAAUAAAAAAAUAUUAAUUAUAAUGUAUGUUAAUUAACUAAAUAUUUGUACAACUUUAAUAAAAAUAAAAUACAAAUUUAAUCACACCAUAUUGUUAUACCAAGUGGAUCCUAGUAGAAGUAGCAUGGUAGUGAAAUAUUAUUUAUUACAUUUCUAAGCUCUAAGCAUGUGGAACCAAGUAGUGUAGUUAUUCUUUAAUUAACCGACAAUGUAGAUAAAGAUGUUUCAAUAGUCUCCCAAUUUAAAUUAUCUUCAUCAAGAAAGCUAAGUUUUUUACAAAUCUACUCAUUUAAUAAUUUAAUGUUAUCAAGGCCAAUGUGAUCUAAAAUAUCUUGUUUUUUUUUGUUUAAAUUCUUACAAAGUACAAACAUUAAAAAAAAAACAAUAUGAUUGUUAUCAAAUAUAUUAGUGAUAAAUUCAAUUUUUGAAAAUAGUAUAUUUACAAAGUAGUUAUAAAAGGUUUAGACAAGACCUAUUUGCAAUAUUAGGUCAAUAAUCAUGCCAAUUGUAAUAUAUUCUUCCACUGCAUGAAGAACAAAAACAUUCAUUUUCCAUGGAGGGACAAGAUGAGGUAAGGAGAUUAGAUAAUAGGUACAAAAUAACUACAUAGAAAAUUAUAAAGUUGUUAUAAUAAUGAGAAACUUAUUGCAUUAAAGCAUUAUUCCUAAAUAUCCUAGUCGAUAUUCUAUUAAGACUUGAUAUUAAUUAGAGUUAUUGAGACUAAUGUAUCUUAUGUUCCUUCCUUUAUGAAAGGAAGAAGUUGCUCUUAUAAACUGAGGUAUGAGAGAUGUAUAUAACUAAUAUAUAGGUGCUUGUAACAUGACAUAUACACUGAACUGACUUGUAAGAAAAUUUUAUAUAGGGAGAUUACUUAUGUCUAUAGAAAGGUUCACGUGAUAAUUAUGUAAGUGAUCUUUAGACUUGAGAUCACUAAUUUAUAUUAUAUAGAGAGUGUUAUGCUUUGAUCCUAACCACACAUUAUCCUAAUCAAAGAUAACAAAUAGGCAAAUAUUAGGUAUGAGAUAUAGUAUUAAAUGAAGGUAUUUAAGUAAUAAAGAGAGGAUUCAUCACUCUAGGUGAAUUAGAAAAAAUAUUACGUAUGAUCUUAAAUAAUAUUGAUUGUGAAACCUUUGGCCAAGAUAGAAUGAGUUUUGAAAAAAAUUUCAGAAUUUUACUCAAAAAAUUAAUGAUUAUAAUGUUGAGAACUAACAUGAUUUAACAAAGCAGAAUAGUUCAUGUUAUAAUGUCUAAAUCGAAACAUUUAUGAUAAAUUAAUGAAUAAUAAUUACACUGCAACAAUGGUGCAGGGUUCGUCAAGGUGGAAAACGUGAAGGUACCAGAUCCUUCAACUGCCCGUGAGAAUAACAAUUUGGAUCUGAAAGCAUGCAUGUAGCAAUGCUUGAGGAAUUGUUCCUGCACAGCCUACGCAAGUUCAGUUGUGACAAGUAAGAGUGGGUGCUUCUCAUGGUAUGGCAAUUUGCUUGAUACAAGAGUGUUCGCUGAGGGAGGACAGGAUUUAUAUGUCCGUGUGGAUGCGUUUGAGUUAGGUACCUUCAAAUCUUAUUGUCAUUAUAUAUCUUUGCUGCAUUUUUCAACAACAGCUUAAACUUUAAUACAACUUAGAUAGAGGAUUUUCAGAACAAAAAAUAUAGACAUCUGAAAUAAAAAUUACGGGUACAAGUACAACGGAAGUACCAGGGACAUUUCUAAUAUGGCUAAACCCUCCCCUGCACUUACCUACUAUCUUUCUGCAAUAUGCACCCUUACUGAUAAUCCUGAUGAUUUGGUAUCGCGCUAAUGUGGAUUUCUUUCUUUCUCCAGCUCAAUAUGACAAGAAGUCUAGAGGUUUUCUUGCAAAAAAAGGGAUGUUAGCCGGCUUGGUACUCUCUAUAGCUGCUGCGGUUUUCUUUGUCAUUAUGUUCUCAUUCUGGUUGAUAAAAAGGAAGAAGACGGGUAAGAGAUUAUUUUUUCAACUUUGUUACCAAUAUAAGUGGCACCAAAUUAGUUGAACUAAAGAAUUCUAACUUUAAGUCUAUGCAUAUAGGAGAUGAUAGUCUGCAAAAUGCAGUGUAAUCAACAUUAGCACUUGUUAGUACUUUUAAAAGCUGAUUUUGAGUUCUUUCAACGAUAAACACAGCUAAGGGCAGACAACUCAAAUUUCCCUUCAAUAUCCCUUCAACACAGCUAAACAAGCCUCAAUGGCUCUCUAAGUGGAAAGGAAGUUGGUGGAAGUAGAACAAGUGAAUACGUACCAGUCUUCGACAUAGAUAUCAUAUUAGAAGCCACAGAGAGUCGAAUUUCUCCAACAAGCUUGGAUAUGGUGGUUUUGGCUGAGUUUACAAGGUACCUUUCCUUGGACAUGAAAUUAUUUCAGAAUUCUAUGUACUUGUAUCAAAAGUUAACAUGCAUUAAAUAACAUUUUAAUGUUGCAUGAUUAGACCAUGAUACUGGAAAAUCGCAGAGGCUGGUGCCAAAGAAAUUCUAACCAGGGAAGAUGAUGGAAAUGGAUGGAAUUAUGGAUAGAUGAUGGAAAUGGAAAGGUGGAGAUGGAUAGAUGUAGGACAGAUGAUGUUCAAUCCUUUAGAGAUACAGAAAUCACCACUCUAAAGUGAAUGAACAAAGAUUAAACUCAGAAUUGUCAAUAAUACAGUCACGCCCCAAAGAGAUUAGAGUUUAGGAUAGCUCACCACUCCGUGAAUUCCACCAAAGAGAUACAGAACUAAACAUAAACCUAACCAGCUCACUUUGAUUUUGGCUUCACCAUUUCUCUAUAUCUAUUCUAGAUUGUUGAACACUCUUAUUUAUACUUGGGACAAUACGUGCAAGUUAGGAAAACAUCAAACAAGAAAUUCUAAAUCUAAACACUUUUUCCAUCUAGCCGAAGUUGUAGUAGACGCGGGACACAUAUCGAGCAUAAGAAAAAGUCUGGAAGAGUCAAACGUUACGGGGUCAGCCCAAAUUAGAUCUAGAAGAUGAUAUUUCAGAUUAUUCUUAAUUAUAUCUACUUGUUUUCAGAUUCCUUUCUACUUAUAUUCAUGAUUUUUGUUUGACUUGAUUUUAAAAGUAUACUGGUCGAUUUUACAGUCUUUCUCUACGGUUUAGGAUUAUAUUUUUUUAAAGUUUACGAAACCUUAAUUCUCUAUCUUUGCUACAUACUUAAUCAGUAGGUAAGGCUGAUGACAUUUAAGAGAGUUGGAGGGAAGAUUGUCCAGGCUUAUUGAAUGUUUAUUGACAAAACCAGGCGCGGCAUUGCAUGCUGUUAAAUAUCGUAGAAAGAUCACGGUUCUGUUGACAGCAUGCACCCUUGUCAGUAAAACAACCAUAACUCUUGCUAGAAAGCUCCGAAUCUUUCACUGUUCGAUGUGUUUGAAACUAGACACGUAUAUCUUUCUAGGGAUACAUGGCUUGCUCAGUAUUUCUCUUUGUGUUGAUGCAGUUAUACGUUUGAAUUUGAAACUGAAAUCUGGCCCUGUUGCGAGCAUUCUUGGCUUUGUUGAUUUCUUUGGGUUAAGAUCAGGCUCUUUUAGGCUUUGUUCAAAAUCAUCUAAUCCAAAUUUAUUAGUGGAUGUAAUUAUGGGAUUUACUAGGAAUUCUCCCGCAUCAGACCAACUUUGGCAGAAUGUGAUUAGCUUAAGUUGUAUUAACUUGUGAGUUAAACAUGGAAUGUAAUUUCAGGGCAAGCUAGGCAAUGGACAGGAAAUUGCAGUUAAGAGAUUAUCUAAAACUUCAGGGCAAGGGAUGAAGGAGUUUAUGAAUGAAGUAAGGUUGAUAUCUAAACUCCAGCACAGAAAUCUUGUCAAGCUUUUUGGUUGUUGCAUUCAUGAAGAGGAAAAGAUGCUGAUAUAUGAGUAUUUACCAAACAAAAGCUUGGAUUUUUUCAUCUUUGGUAUGGCUCUCUUCAUCCAUUUUUGUUUCUGUGUUCAAAGGGAAGAGUCCCCUGAUUAUACAGCUUCACUUUGAUCAAAUUAAAAUAAAUGAUUUCGGGGCAAACCUUUAAUGUUUAAGUGCAGACGAGACAAAAAGGGUGCUCUUGGAUUGGAGAAAGCGUUUUGAAAUUGUUUCCGGGAUUGCUCGAGGGGUUUUAUACCUUCAUCAAGAUUCAAGACUAAAAAUUAUCCACAGGGAUCUCAAAGCCAGCAAUAUUCUACUAGAUGCUGCAAUGAACCCAAAAAUUUCCGAUUUCGGUAUGGCAAGAAUGUUUAUGGAAGACCAAGUCCAAGGAAAAACCACUCGUGUGGUCGGAACAUAGUAAGUAACCUGAUUCUUUCCUCUCUCCAGUGAUCCAUCAUGAUCAAAUACCAACAAGCUUCAUCUUUUAUGAUUGUAGCGGCUACAUGUCACCUGAGUACGCAAUUCAGGGACAGUAUUCGAUAAAGUCAGAUGUCUUCAGCUAUGGUGUCUUAACACUGGAGAUCACAAGUGGCAGGAAAAAUAGCGACUACGGUGAGAGAGAACCCUGGCUGAAUCUUAUCGGACAUGUAAGCGGAUCGAUAAAUUUCUUGAUAAUAUCUUAGGUGAUUGUCUUCCUCUUAGAUUCUUUUCUCGAUUAUCUUCUUACUUGUUUCAUGUAUGGGACUUAUGGAGAGAAGAAAAGGCAUUAGACAUAGUUGGUCCAAUGCUGGAACAGUCAUGCCCUCUUCAUGAAGUUCUUAGAUGCAUUCAGAUUGGGUUACUGAUAGGUCCCAACACAGAUAAUGAAGUGUUUAAUAAAAAUAAUGCAUUGCUUUCUCUUCAGGUGAGAAUAAACCUUUGUUCUGAAAUUAAUUGAUUACCACUAAUGACAACUGUGGUUGCUUAAAUAGCAAGACCACGUACUCAUAGACUGAAAUAUAAUUGCAUGAAAUAAAAGUAACUAAGAUAGUGCCAGUUCUGUCAUCACAUUUGCACGUCACAUUUGCACGUAAUGUUUCCCACGUAUUAUAUUCAACUGCCAACCAGCAUUCCCCACUCUGAACUCUGGACGUCAUGGCCUGUAUGCACGAUUAAUUACGUGCUGUAAACAUCUUGAAGUAUUUGGCAUUUGGCUUAAGUCCUCUCUUUGAACGACGUGGUCUAUCAAUACCGCCCCCAAUAAGUGGAACCUUGUCCUCAAGGUUCAGAGCCGGAAAUUUCUCCUGUAACAGAGCAGUGGGCUCCCACGUGGCAUCGUCAACAGGCAAAUUUUUCCAUUGAACUAAGCUUUCCGCUACAAGAUGACGUCCCUGUUUGUGCCAGCGAGAAUCCAACAUAGAUUGCGGUUCAAGAAGCAGCUCACCCGCAUCGGUAAUAGGUGGAAUGUCAACUGAUCGUGGUUCAAAAAUGUUGGCUGUAUUCUGGUAGCGCUUUAACAGUGAAACAUGAAACACUGGAUGAAUGCGUGCUUCGGAUGGUAACUGUAAACGAUAGGCGACCUGUCCGAUUUUUUCAACAAUUUGAUAUGGUCCGUAAUAACGAGUAGCCAGCUUGUGAUGGACCCGUUUGAAGACUGACUGUUGGCGAUAUGGAUGCAGUUUGAGAAGCACCCAAUCACCGGCAUGAAAGAUGACAUCCCUCCUCUUUGUGUCAGCAAUCUGUUUCAUGCGAUUCCUCGAUCUAGCUAAGUUAUCCUUCAAUUGACGAAGUAGAGCAUCGCGGUCCAGGAGCUGUUGGUCAACUGCACUUACUGGCGUCAGACCCUCUUUGUAGACAUGAAUAGCUGGAGGUAGGCGUCCAUACAACGCCUGAAAUGGUGUCAUACCAGUUGAAAUAUGGUACGUGGUAUUAUACCAGUACUCUGCCCAAGGUAAAUAAGAACACCACUGCUUUGGCCACUGAUGAACAAAACAUCGUAAAUACUGCUCCACACACCGAUUAAUGACCUCCGUCUGGCCAUCCGUCUAUGGAUGGUAUGCUGAACUGAGUCGAAGCUUGGUGCCUGACAUUUUAAAAACUCUUGCCAGAAAUGACUGAUGAAAAUAGGAUCCCGAUCACUAACAAUGGAUUGCGGCAUUCCAUGGAGCUUAAUAACGCCAUGAACAAAUUUUUCUGCCAUAGUUUUUGCAGUAAAUGGGUGACGUAAAGUGAGAAAAUGAGCAAACUUACUAAGUCUGUCAACAAUCACCAUGAUGGUGUCCCUGCCAUGCGAUAUUGGCAAUCCUUCAAUAAAAUCCAAGGUGAUAUCAUCCCAAACUUGACAUGGAAUAGGCAGUGGUUGAAGAAGUCCCGCUGGAGCCAAUGUCUCUAUCUUGGUCUUUUGGCAAAUCUCACAUUCUUGGACAUAUGUGUGCACUGCUUCAUACAUGCCAGGCCAAUAGAAUUGUUGGUUGAGCUUUUUAAAUGUACGUAGAACUCCGGAAUGACCGCCCACCUUGGUGUUAUGCAUUUCAUGUAGCAGUGUAGCUCGUAAAUUUGCAUCGUUUGGUACCACGACCCUCCCCUUGUAUAAUAAUAGCCCAUCACGCCAUGUAAAUGCACUGUCAGGUUGAGCAUCAAUUUUAUGACCCAUGGACUGAAUGUAUUGGUCCUGUUGUGAGGCUGUCUUAAUCUCUUGCCAGACACUAACCUGCGAAGUAAAAAUGUGAUGUAAAAUUGGACUCCCUUGUUUUCUGGACAAAGCAUCAGCAGCUGAGUUCUCACGGCCUGUGUUGCUACCCAAUUUUUGACCCAUGUUUUUGAUAUAUUUUCAAAAAAAAUCCAAAAAUAGAGAAAAACAAAGAAAAUCAAAAAAAAUAUGUUUUUUUAAUAUAUUUUCGUAAUUUUAGCAUUUUCAACGUCGUCUAAAAAAGAAUUUAAAUUUUUAAGGGUCUUUCGAACGCGUUCGACUUUUCACGCGUUAUUUUUUAAAAUCAUUGAUUUUCCGUAUUUGAGUCGACGUUGAUAUUGCUCGUUUUCAAAAAAAUACAAAAAAACAAGAAAAAUCAAAAUUUUACAAAAAAAGAAAGUUGACCAAUUUUUGAAAACUUGGCAAUAUUUUUUGCCUAUAAAUACUAGUCUUAAACUCACAUUCAAGGAGGGGUUUUCAUUUUUGCAAGGGGGCUAAUUUUGGAAACACCAGAAAAAUAAAAAAUAAAAAAAAACCUAAACCUAUCUUCUCCCCCCACUUUUUUUCAAACAGUCGCCGGCCCCCCUUAGUCCAAGACCAUUAUUUUUCCAGCUGAAAAUCAGCAACUCAGCCCCCACCCAGGUCUUCUUUUCCUGGUUUUCCACCGACAAUGGAGGCCCCUUCUCACACUGAAAACUUGCCAGCCCGAUGAAUUACUAGGUGGCGACUCCAACGAACAAAUUCAAAGCAAACGCAAAAACAAGAAAAAUUGCCAGCCCGAUGCCGCGCGCCGGAUGGAUUUUUUUUGGGGUGCGACAGGAUGGCGACUCCACUGGGGACAAGUAUUGUUUUCAACUUUAUCGGACUAAGCUUUGUGUUUUGAUGUGUUCAAUUUUUUUUGUGCUUUGUUUUAUUUAUUUGUAUUUUAUUCAUGCAUUGUAAAUAUUUUCUCUCAUGCAUCACAAGUUUUAAUUUUUGAAAGCACACACCAGCUUUAGGUUAGGUGGGGGACUAGCAGCUUGCCUUAUGACUUGAGUCAAGGUUUAAGUUUGUGUAAACCCCAACUCUUUGUUGAGUGCUUAGACUGGUAAUAGUUGGACACGUGCCAACCAAUUACCUACUGGGCCCCUAUAUUGUCUUUACGAAGGCGAUCACUGGGACAACAAGAGACCCUUUUAGAGACCAAGUAGCAAACCUACCCUGUCUCACGUAAAAUGAAUAGAGCCUGCUUUAGGAUGUAUGUGCUAUUGUUUGCAUCGAGCAAACCUUCUUGAAGCAUCUUGAACUCAAGACUUGUGGGUGACACAUUGGCCGUUGCUCCGAAAAUUUUCAUUGUAGAGUUUGGGCAAAAAUCACGAUUCUUGUCCAUCAUACAAGAGUUACGACCAUAUUGUCACCUCUCGAAGGGUGAGUUCAUCAUAUAGAUUACAUGUUCAUACAUUUAUCAUGCAUGUACCGGGUUGAAAGGUAGGUCCCCGCACAAGCUGUGCUGCACGUGAUUGAAGAAAUGAUGGAGGUGAAGAAAGUGUCAGAUAGAGGCUCAUUAUCAGAUUAAGUUGAGAGCAUCAAAGGUGAAGUAGCUAGACUCAGAUCUGCUCGAACAAGUGUUGAGCAUCAAAUGGAAAGAGAAUGUCUGCACAGUCUUCUGUGGGAACACUGCUUGUUCACGUCCAAUUGAAGCUGCUCUCCUUUUCAGUCAUGAACAACAACAACAACGCCUUCAGUCAUCAACUAAUGACAACUCUGGUUCUUGUCCAGUUGCACUGUUAAGUGUUCAUCGCCUCCACAUCAUCUAAUGGAACCAAACGACUACUAGCCUCCUGUACAUGGUGCAUUAGUCUGCUUUGAAGUUACCCCGAUUAUGAGCUCAAUUCCAGUUCAGCAGCACAAGAUGGUCUGAAAAACCAUGAUUGAACACUGAACUUCAAUGUGGCAGAGCUCUCUCUACAAAAAUCCAUUUAUGGCUCUGCAAAUUGGGAAUGCAAGAGGGGAUUUAUAAGUUGCAUAUGCUACAAAUAUUUCUCUCAUCAGUUUCAGCACGAAGACCUCUUAGUAGGUUGAAGAGCCAGACCUGGUCUGAAAAAUAUGAGCAGACAUCAAACUUCAACGUAGCAGAGCUCUCUCAGCAGGAAUCUGUUUGUGGAUCCGCAAGUGGGAAAUCCAAGAAGGAAUACAGUAGUUUCAGAUCAUCUAUGAUUUUCCUCCAACAGUGUCAGUAUUAAAACGCAAAAGUAGAGAGAAGAGACAUGCCUAGACUGAAAAACAUGAAGAAUACUGAAACUUCAACAGAGCAGGACUUCCUCUAUAGGUGUUUGUUUGCUGCACUGUCAGUGAGAAAUCGAAGAGGGGACAAAGGAGUUUUAGAUUCAUCAGGUGCUCUUCCAAUAGAGACAAUGUGUGAUUCCACACGUCGGUAGUGGCGAUACUACAAGUUUCUGGGCGCUGCCAAGAUUACCAAGCUGUUGGAAAGUUUUCUAACAAUCCUCAACCAACCACAACAACAUUGGAAGAUUGAAAUGAUGUUGUGAGGAUUUGCCGAAGAAUUGAACAAGCUAUGAAGAGAGCAAAGAUUGAAGGAUCUGCCAUGGAUUCUAGAACAAUGAUGAGAGGUGAAUCAGGAGAUGACUUGACGGUGUGAACCCUUAAUUAUGUGGUAUAGCCAGGUCUCACGGUAGCAUCAAUUGCUCAAAUGUCUUUGCCAAGAUGGGACAUUCCUCUGCCAUUUAAGUUUGUCGACCAGCAUCUGCCAGAUUCCAGAAUUUUGCUUGACUCCGACAAAUCCAUGCAACCACCAUUUUCUAGGUGGUAUAAUCCAGAUAAGAGAUGUGAUGUCAUGGUGGGGUCCUCAACCAUUUCAAGUGAACAGUUUCAAGAAUUGCAAGAAUUGAGUCUGAAAGUUGGUGAGCAAGAGACAAGUGGAGUCGGUGAAGGAGGGUGUCAUUGGCUAUAUUGUCCCCGAACAUCUUCAGAAUGACAUGUUGAUCGAAAGUGCUUGGCAAAACACAAAUAUUGCCAGAAAAGCUGAUUCAAGAAUGGUGAUGAACAGUCAAUCAUAUUGUUUUGGAAUUCUGCAUUUUGUUUUGGGAUCACAUCUCAUCCUUCAACGAAACAUGCCUUGCUUUUGUCUCUUUGUUGUUUUGAAAUCAACAGAUGUUUAACAUUUUUUCUGACAAAAUAUUUUGAUCAAACUCCAACAUGCGAUAAAGGUUAAUCAAUCCUGAAGAUUAAAAGUGUUUUGAUUACAGAAAUGACUCGAUUUUGUUGAAAUGACAUGAGGUGACCAAACAAUUUUGAACUCAUACCUUUGAAACUGAACCACACAUCAUAUAGCUAAGUUUUAGCAGUAUGCAUAAUGACAUGUAGUGGUUUCGGUAGUUAUGGACUCGUGAAUCAUGACUUACAAGUCCAAAUCAUUACACUAGAUGAGGUCAAAAUUUAUCGGUUCUAACCGACCUUGCUUGAAAUGAGAAAAGGCCAUCUUUGAUAUCCUUCACUUUCUAAAAAUUAUCUCCUUGUAGUCCCAUUUUGAGCUGGAUAGAAUAUUUUUUCAAAAAACCCUGACUAGGAUCACACCCCACACUGGGGGCAAAUGAGAAAUAUUUUGGAGACAUGAUAAAAUCAAUGGAUCAAAGAAAAGCUUAGAACAAAAGUCCAAUGUUUGAGAAAGGGCUAGAAGAAGAAAAUCCAUAGAUUGAGGGCCAUCCAAGAAAAACUUUGAGGAAAUGAAAGAAAAUGCCUAUCAAUUCUAAGAGAGGCAAGACAGUUUUCAAUUGAGAAAAGACAAUAAAUGCCAAAAGUCAACACUAGAAAAAUCGAUGCUUCAUAUCUUUUGGUGUGUCUGGAUAAGCCUCUAAUGUCUUCAAAAUUAGAUUAGUUAUUCAUCAAAGAAAAGUUGGAUUAUGACCUAUGUUAAGAGAAUUCUGAUAUUGAAGAUUAACAAGGUUAUAUGUCACUUUCUCUACAAUGACAACAAGAGAAAGAGAAUCGAUGAAUAGUUAAUGUUGGUCCUAGGUCGUUGAAACCCUCAAACACCUUUUGAGCCUUGAAUUCCUUUCUUUCAUAGCCAUGAACCAUAGCCUGCAUUACGUGCUUUUAAAAGCCCUUUUUAAUCAAGCAAGCAAUUGAACCAUAAAUGGCGCUCUCAAAACUUGAAGAGUUUUUCCAUAAGGGUCGUGACUUCAUGAAUUAAGCUACUGGUUAUUAUGCAUGCUGAUAAAAUAAAUGCUAAGAAAAGAAACAACCUUUCUUAUCAAGCCUGAGCAUCUUGUUUUGAAAUUCAUAAAAAUGUCACCUCAUCACAACCAUCAAAAGAUAUACCCAAAAUCAGAGUUUAAAAUGGACACAAAGAACCAUGGGAAAGACAUUUUAAAUCUUACAACGGGUCAUUUCUGUUUUCAAAAUACAAGACAAUCAAAGGACUGCAUUGAAUAGUGUGUUGGGUCUUUGACCAAAGAAGUUUGAAUUUCAAAAGAAAAAAAUAACUUCAAAAACAGACAUCUCUCUGAUUUCAUUUCAACAAUUAUACUUGAAUAGACAUGAUCGUUGAAAUGUUGAGAUUUGAUUCCAGAACAAGAAAGAUUUUCAAACAAGAACAUCAAUUGAGUUUGCAAAAUUCUUGACAAAAAUGACAUCAACAUUUCUCGACACUCCUUGAAACGUUGACCACCUAGGGGCAAUACAGUGGACCUUAAGAAGGAAAGCAAACAGUAUCCAUAUCAGCUGGGGGCAAAGAAAGAAUCCGAUGAUGAGUCGUCAAAGUUAUGUUUAGCAUCUGACAAUGACAAAGAAAAACCUUCUUGAGUAUAAACCGAUGAAUGAACCUUCAGAUCAUACUGGGGCCAAUGUUGUUCAAAGACAAUCCAUGAUCUAGUGCACUUCAGCAGCAAUUGAUGAGCAACGCUGCACUAGAAAGAUAUUUUCAUAUCUUCAUCUUAGGUUACUUUGUAAAACAUGGAUAUGACUCCGGACAGAUGUUAUCGGGUGAGUGCAUUUGAUGAACAUCGAACAUAUGCAUACCACAAGAUUUACGAUGGGACCAUCUAUUCUGAAGCUCAAAUGCGCACUUCACCGCAUGAAUAUGGGUGAUAACAUGAACAUCAUUGAUGAUGCCAAAGCAGUAUUUUCACGAUCUGAUUUGACAAGCUAAGAGGAAUCCAUAGAGAAAUACAUCGCGCUUACAAUGAUGAGCUGUUUACUGCAAAGCAUGAGAUCCAUGUCUGGAUGACUUGGCAGUUCCAUGAAGGCUGGUGACCAUACAUACUUGAAUGGUGUUUCAACCGAAGGCAAGUUCAUGACUGAUUAACAAACGUGAUGGGUGUUGGCAUGAUGCACACAAUCAAUCAGAGGAUAAUUCUCAGAAGAAUCCAGGAGAGAAAAUCUUCAUGAUGAAUCAAGCAUACACACUUGGGGGCAGGGUCAAGCUUGAUGAACGAUGCAAGCAGUAAUUGUCGAAGACAGCCCGGGAUGGGCACUGCAUUUACAGCUGAGUGGAUGGCUACACAUGAAUGAGCCAAUACAUCGGAAGAACAAAGAAAGCUUUGGGAUACAAACAAGGGCACCCUAUGACGAUGGAGCAUCAAAGAGGGGGACCUAUAUUUCAAAUCAGGUAAGGAUGCAUGCAUAUCAUCUAACCUAAAAAAAAAAAAAAACCAUUUGCACAUAUUUUUGAAUUGUUACAGGAAAAUCCUUAAUGAGGUCCAGCAAGAUGGUGGAAAAGAAAGAAGCAUUGUGGUGAUGAUAAUAAAGAAUCGGUUUUGAUCAUGGAAUAAAAGGACGAUGGGAUGAACCCUACCAUUAGGAAAAUCCCAAAGAAAUGAAUAGAUCAACCUUGCAAUCGGGAAGCCUCGAGUUCUCAACCCUUGCAGUCAGGAAACACCGAGUUUUUUUUUCAAACCCUAUGAUCGGGAAUUAUCAGGGAGCACCAAGUUUUCCAGCCCUUCUUCUAUCAUCCCCUCAGGACUUCGCCAGGUAAGUCCUAUUUUUCACACUUGUCAUAUCACAUUUUUUCCAUCUGGGUAGGUCACCCAUUACAAUGAGACCACACUUCAUAUUUUUCCAUUUCUGGGUAGGUCACCCAUUACAAUGAGACCGCACUUCACAUUCUUUCUAUCUGGGUAGGUCGCCCAUCACAACGAGACCACUUCAUCAUAUUUUUUCCAUCUGGGUAGGUCAUCCAUUACAAUGAGACCGCACUUCAUAUUCUUUCUAUUUGGGUAGGUCGCCCAUCACAACGAGACCACUUCAUCAUAUUUUUUCCAUCUGGGUAGGUCACCCAUUACAAUGAGACCGCACUUCACAUUUUUUCUAUCUGGGUAGGUCGCCCAUCACAACGAGACCACUUCAUCACAUUUUUUCCAUCUGGGUAGGUCACCCAUUACAAUGAGACCACAGUUCACAUUUUUUCCAUCUUGGCUAGGUCACCCAUCACAAUGAGACCAUCAUCUUUUCUGGGUAGGUCACCCAAAGAAUGAGACCAUUCUCCAUUUUUUUUACCUGGGUAGGUCACCCAUAAGAAUGAGGCCAUUCCUCUCCCUGGGUAGGUCACCCAAAGAAUGAGACCACUCUUCCUCUUUCCACUUGGGUAGGUCACCCAUCACAAUGAGACCACCAUUUUUUCUGGGUAGGUCACCCAUUAGAAUGAGACCAUUCUCCAUUUUUUUUUUACCUGGGUAGGUCACCCAUAAGAAUGAGGCCAUUCCUCCCCCUGGGUAGGUCACCCAAAGAAUGAGACCACUCUUCCUUUUUCCACUUGGGUAGGUCACCCAUCACAAUGAGACCACCAUUUUUUCUGGGUAGGUCACCCAUUAGAAUGAGACUAUUCUCCAUCUUUUUUUUUACCUGGGUAGGUCACCCAAAGAAUGAGGCCAUUCUUCCCCCUGGGUAGGUCACCCAAAGAAUGAGACCACUCUUCCACCUUUUCACUUGGGUAGGUCACCCAUUAUAAUGAGACCACUUUUUACAUAUUUUUUUGUUCCAGUUGAAUGAGGUCGCCAGAUGGGAUCUCAUGUAGCUUUGGUUAAAGGGAAUCUCCAUAUGGGAUUUCAGAUUGACCGAGUUACACACAUUCUUUGGUUUUGGUUAAAGGAGGUCGCCAGAUGGGAUCUCAGGAUAAUAAAAAAAAAAGAAAAAAAAAAGGGAAGAUUGCUGAUGAAGUGGAUAUUGAGCAAACAGAAAGACAAGUUUUUCUUUACAAAGCUUACUAUGCAAAACAUCGAGGAUUUUUGCUUCGUAAGCAUUCUAAAGAAGGGGCAUCUGUUGCUACCCAAUUUUUGACCUAUGUUUUUGAAAUAUUUUCAAAAAAAAUCCAAAAAUAGAGAAAAACAAAGAAAAUCAAAAAAAUAUGUUUUUUUAAUAUAUUUUCGUAAUUUUAGCAUUUUCAACGUCGUCUAAAAAAGAAUUUAAAUUUUUAAGGGUCUUUCGAACGCGUUCGACUUUUCACGCGUCAUUUUUUAAAAUCAUUGAUUUUCCGUAUUUGAGUCGACGUUGAUAUUGCUCGUUUUAAAAAAAAUACAAAAAAACAAGAAAAAUCAAAAUUUUACAAAAAAAGAAAGUUGACCAAUUUUUGAAAACUUGGCAAUAUUUUUUGCCUAUAAAUACUGGUCUUAAACCCACAUUCAAGGAGGGGUUUUCAUUUUUGCAAGGGGGCUAAUUUUGGAAAUACCAGAAAAAUAAAAAAUAAAAAAAAACCUAAACCUAUCUUCUCCCCCCACUUUUUUUCAAACAGCCGCCGGCCCCCCUUGGUCCAAGACCAUUAUUUUUCCAGCUGAAAAUCAGCAACUCAGCCCCCACCCAGGUCUUCUUUUCCUGGUUUUCCACCGACAAUGGAGGCCCCUUCUCACACUGAAAACUUGUAUUUCUUCUCAUCCCCAGCUUUGCAAAAGAAAAAAAAAUGAUGGGAGCCAUUUUUCGGGUCCCGGCAGUAGGGGGCAGCACCCACAGUCCCCAGUCCCGUUGGAGAUUUUCUUCUUCUCCCCUACAGCCGCUCACCCAAGGGAGCCCCUUAGCUCUUUGAUUUUCUUCCCCCCCUCAGCAGCCGGUUUUCACUACUCCCCUUCAUCACCAUUUUUUUUUUCCUUCUUCCCCAACACAGCCACACCGCCAGCCCUCUCACCCAAUCUCUCCAACACGCAGCCGCCUACACACAGACCCACCCCCCGGCCAUUUUCGUUUCUCUUCUCCCCAACAACAACCACAAAUCAGCUCCCUCCUCCACAGAUCCUCCCUCUCAGCUGCUCCCUUUGCUCUUCGCAGCUCUUGAGCCGGCCACCCUUGGCCACAAAAGAAAAAGCAGCCGCCACCCGAAGACCAGUCUCCGGUGUCCCUCCUCUUCUGCUCCCAGACCGCCGCUGAUCUCCCCACGACCGAAGAACCCAGCUCAGCCCCACGCCGGACAGAGACCAGCGCCGUCCCCCUUGAUCUCUUCCACAACAACCCGGUCGGCAGCGGAUCCAUCCCAUCGCCACAGUAGCUUCAGCGGCCACGGGCGACCUGCAACCGGCAGAGAACCCCCACAGAGAAGAAGGCGAAACCGAGAGGGGGGGGCAGAUCCAAAACGACGAAGGAAGAAAGAACCAAAAACAGAUUUGAAACCAAAGAAAAAUUUAAAAUCUACUGCUGUUUGUGCGUUGUUUCCCUUGUUGUAGGUGGCGGUGACCUCCACCGCCGGCGUGGGAAGACGGAGUAGAAGAAGACAUCCCGGACCCCUGUUCUUUUUUUUGUUUCUCACGGCGGCGCGUGAACCCACGCACCGCCAGUGGCGGUUGCACGUGGGGAGACACGCCGCCAGUGUUGUUCCGUGGUGCAGAUGGGCUUCAAUGCAAUUCUGGAGUUUUUAGGGACCAUUUUGUAAAUUUUAAAGUUUUAAUGUAAUUUUUGUUUAUUUAUUUUAAAUUUGUAAUAGUGAAUGUAAAAGAAAAAGAAGAAAUAAAAGAAAAUAAUAAAAAGAGAUGUGUGCUUGUUUGUAUUUUUAUUUAUGUUAUUAAAUUGUAAAAAUAAAGAAGGAUAAAAAGAAUUAAUUGUUAAUUUAAAUAUCGAUUAAAUAUCUUAAGGAUAAAUAAAAUCAAGUUGUAUUUUCCACGAAAAUGUAAGAACAAGUUUUUUUACAUAUAUUCGGGGAUUCAAUAACUGAUUUAUUCAAGCCUUAGAAUUUAAUUAAUAUUUUAAAUUUUCUUAAAUAUGGUUACAUAUUUCAAGGACAAAUAAAAUCAAGUUGUAUUUUCCAUGAAAAUGUAAGAACAAGUUUUUACAUAUAUUCGGGGAUUUAAUAACUAAUUUAUUCAAGCCUUAGAAUUUAAUUAAUAUUUUAAAUUUUCAAAUCACAUUAGAACACAAUGCAGCUUACCUCAGGUAGGGUGUGUUAGGGGUGCUAAUACCUUCCCUAACCACAACCAGUCCCUUACCCGCGAUCUCUGACAAGACUAGUACAUCAGGUUUCCUAGUAGCCCUCAAUGAAUUACUAGGUGGCGACUCCAACGAACAAAUUCAAAGCAAACGCAAAAACAAGAAUAAUCGCCAGCCCGAUGCCGCGUGCCGGAUGGAUUUUUUUUGGGGUGCGACAGCCUAGACGAUAGAUGAUUUCAUAGUCAUAACCCAUUAGCUUAGCAACCCAUUUCUGCUGUUCUAGAGUAGCUAUCCUCUGUUCUACAAAAUACUUGAGACUACGCUGAUCAGUUUGAAUGUAGAAUUUCUUGCCGAGAAGAUAAGGACGCCACAAUCUGAUAGCUUCCAAAAUUGCCAACAUCUCUUUAGCAUAUGUUGACCAUGAUUUCUUUGUGAUACCGAGGGCCCUGCUCAUGUACGCCAGCGGCUUGCCAAGUUGAGUGAGGACUGCACCUAUGCCAUCUCUAUAAGCAUCGGUGUCAAUGGUAAAUGCUUCGUUGAAAUUAGGCAUGGCCAAUAUGGGAGUAGUUGUCAUGGCCCGCUUGAGAGCAAGGAAAGCGGCUUCAGCUGCAUCAUUCCAUUGAAAUUGAUUCUUUUUGAGCAGAUUGGUAAGAGGCUGAGCAAUAACACCAUAGUUCUGAAUGAAUUUGCGAUAAUAUCUUGUCAAACCAAGAAAACCACGUAAAUCUGAAAACGUUAGUAGGCCGUGACCAUGCCACCAUAGCAGUAAUCUUGCUAUCAUCCACUUUGACACCAUGAUCGGUGAUAAUAUGUCCCAAAUAUUCAAGUUCGUGCUACCCGAAAGCACACUUGCUUUCCUUGACAUAGAACUGAUGCUGGCGUAGUAUUUCAAAUGUCUGUCGGACAUGCAGUAAAUGCUGGUCCCAGGUAGAACUAUAUAUCAAGAUGUCGUAAAAAAAAACCAAAAUAAAUUGACGAAGGUGAUGACGAAAUAUGGAGUUCAUGAUAGCCUAGAACGUAGAGGGCGCAUUACAUAGGCCAAAUGGCAUCACCAAAUAUUAAUAAUGUCCAUUAUGAGUGCGAAAUACAGUUUUAUGGACAUCUUGGGGAUUGACUCGUACCUGAUGAUAACCCGCUCGUAGAUCCAACUUGGUAAAGUAAGAAGCUCCGUAUAAUUCAUCUAACAUAUCCUCAACGGUUGGAAUUGGGAAACGAUCUUUAACAGUGGCAGCAUUGAGAGCUCGAUAAUCAGUACAAAACCUCUAGUUCCCUUCUUUUUUCUUCACUAACAACACAGGUGAUGAAAAGUGACUGGUACUUGGACGAACAAGCCCUGUGGUCAGCAUGUCCUGGACCUGUUUCUCAAUCUCAUUCUUCUGAAAGUGUGCGUACCUGUAUGGCCGAACAUUAACCGGUUCAGUUCCUUCCUUCAACGUGAUUCCAUGGUCAACAACCCUUGUUGGUGGUAAACUAGAAGGAGCAGCAAAUAUAUCUGAAAAUGCUUGCAACAAUUCCUUCAUGUGGGGAUGAACGGUGCCGUCUGAGUAAUUUGAAAACAUAAGGCAAACAAAGCUUGAUUCGGCCGAAGUGUUUGGACAACUCCUGCAGUGAUGUUUCCUGGAUGUCUUGUCUGCCAAUGCCAGUUAAUCGCCUAAGCUUGUUCUCCCAUAAGAAUUCCAUUGUCAGCCUUUUCCAAUCACACAUCACCGAACCCAGUAAUUCAAGCCAUUGAAUCCCCAACACUAUAUCCAGCCCUGUGAGGGGUAAAGAAUAAAGAGUCAAUGAAAAAACAACACCCUGUAGAUUCAAUGAUACCUCGUCAAAUCGCCCCCGACAUUGGAGACUAUCACUAUUGGCAACCUGUACUUUGAAGGGUUCUGUAGGCACCACUGGCAGCCUUAACAGGGUAGCAGUUCGCUCACUAAUGAAGUUGUGAGUAGAACCACUAUCUAUUAAAAUAAUGACGUUGCAGGAGCCAAUCAUAACUGAUACUCGCAUGGUCUUUGGCGCUGUCCAACCUAACAAGGCAUGCAAUGUAAUUGACGGACCUGUAAGCUCCUCAUAUUGCUCAUGAUUUAGGUGUUCGUCAAGAACAUUGUCACAUAACAACGUAUCAGUGUCAUUGCAACCUUCCAACAUAAGUAGGCAUGACCCUUGACACUUGUAACCUGCAGUAAAACGGUCAUUACAAUUGAAACAUAGAUUCUGGGCUCUCCUUCGUUGCAUUUCUUCCCAUGAUAACCGCCUGCUAGGAGUAGUAGGGUUAGACUGUGCGGCUUGGUUGCCAGGCGAAAGAGCCAUAGGUGGCCGCACUGAAGAAACUGGUCUGAUAAACCUCCUCUGACGGGUAAAUUGAUCAUCUUUCAUCCGUGCUAAGCUGAUGGCGUCUUUUAAAGUUUGUGGUUUGAACAUGCGAAUCCCAUCAGAAAUGUCUCUUUUUAAUCCACCCAUAAAUGUUCCCAUAAGAGCUUUUUGGGUCCAACCACGUACAUGAUUGCCAAGACGUUCAAAUUCACGUUGAUAGUCACGCAGCGAUCCUUCCUGACGGAUCCGUGAAAGAGCUUCAUCAAAAUCUUCACAGUCAGAAGGACCAAAUCGAGCCCAGAGUUCACCUUCAAAAUUAAUCCACGAAAGAACACGUCCUUCCUCUUGAAAUGUCCGGCGAAUCCAUUGCCACCACUGGUUGGCCUCUCCUUCCAAGUGAUAGGAAGCUAACGAUACCUUUUGCAUUUCGGGUGUACUUUGGAACUCAAAGAACUGGUUCACCCUAUUAAACCACUCCGUUGGAUCAUCUCCAGAAAAACAUGGAAAUUCAAGCUUCGCUGUUUUAGAAGAGACAACAAGUCGUCCUCCAGUGUGACCGUCACGAUGGGUGUUACCUUGAUUGGUAGACACGUGAUCUGCAAGGAGUACAUCAGAGAGUCGAGUAAUAGUUUCCUCUAAGUGAUGCAAUUUAUCUGUCAUGCCCAUCUCCAUCCGGUGUUCUAACUGUUCGAUACACUCUUUAUUGGUUCCCAUUGCUCUGAUACCAAUGAUAGGUCCCAACACAUAUAAUGAAGUGUUUAAUAAAAAUAAUGCAUUGCUUUCUCUUCAGGUGAGAAUAAACCUUUGUUCUGAAAUUAAUUGAUUACCACUAAUGACAACUGUGGUUGCUUAAAUAGCAAGACCACGUACACAUAGACUGAAAUAUAAUUGCAUGAAAUAAAAGUAACUAAGAUAGUGCCAGUUCUGUCAUCACAUUCGCACGUCACAUUUGCAUGUAAUGUUUCCCACGUAUUAUAUUCAACUGCCAACCAGCAUUCCCCACUCUGAACUCUGGACGUCGUGGCCUGUAUGCACGAUUAAUUACGUGCUGUAAACAUCUUGAAGUAUUUGGCAUUUGGCUUUAAGGCCUCUCUUUGAACGACGUGGUCUAUCAGUUACUGUGUGUGCAAGAAUUUCCAGAUGAUCGACCUACAAUGUUAGAAGUUGUGUUCAUGUUAGGUAAUGAGAUCACUCUUCCUUCUCCUAAGAAGCCAGCAUUUGUUUUACGAACACGCAGUGGACAAGACUUGCCACCAAUGUCUAGAAGAGAAGCUUGUUCUGUAAAUGAAGUUACAGUUACUGUGGUGGAAGCUCGCUGAAAUCCCAGUCUCUUGUAAUAAAUUUUCUCUAACAGGCAUUACAUAGAAGAUGGUUUGACUCAUCAUGGAUGUAUACAUGGCUUGCAAGCAAAACCAUAAAUAAUAAAAAGGAGAAUUUCAUUAUAUAAAUGGUUUUAGACAGUGCCACGUACGUUCUUGAAAAUUAAAAAACAAAAAAAAAAACAAAAAUCUUGGGAGUAGAUGAGAAUUAAAUGCGAAGUUGAUGCCCAGAAAGAGUUUCAAUAAAGACGCCUGUAGGACGGCCCACCUAGGAAAAUCACUCCAUUGGAAGCGUUCACAGGCUGCAAUUUUACAGAAAUUGAUUGUAAAAUUAUAAAAUCAUAAUUAAGAUUUUUCUUAUUGUGUAUAUCUACGCAUGUAGGAUUUUUUUUUUUUUUAUGUUGACAGCGAGGUUGUAAAAAACAAUUUUGGAUAUUACUAGAAAAAUACAAUACAAAUUCAAAAUCAUAGAUUGUAAAAUUAUAAAAUCAUAAUUAAAUUUUUUUAAUUAAUUAUAUAUUGACAAUUCCUCUAUAUUGUCAUAACAGGCCUUGUGUUGUGGUUUAGGAGAAGGCAUUGGGAGACUACGAUGGGAGAAACUGAGAGAGAGAGGGGUUCUGGUUUGGCUUUCUGAAGAUGAUGAGGGGGUGCUGUUCAUGGGUUUUCGAAGAAAGGUGAAGAAGAAGCUGUUGUUGGUGGUUUGAUAUCACUGGUUUUGUUAUGGUGGAGAUGGUUGAGUCUGAGAAGGGAAAUGGUGGAGUCUGAGAAAUUUUCUGUGUUUUGAUUUAUUUUUUUAUCUGCUUCCAACGCUGAAUAUUUUUUUAUCUGCCCCUGGAAAUCUUUGAUCUGCCUCCCCUCUUCUUCUUUUUUUUUCUUUUUGGUUUUUUCCUGUGAGGAAUGUAUUUAUAGUAAAGAGUUUUAAACAAAUAUUUUUUUUAAAAAAAAAUUAUUUAAAAUUUAAAAUUAAAAGAACUCAAAAUAUUCAGAACCUCAUGCAUCAGAGAGUUUCAGUGCAAGCUCUAGACUAGACCGCUGAUCUCUCAAUGAUCAAGAAGCUUCAUUCUCCGUUGAAUCUCAAUCUCUUAGAAAUUAUCCAUUUAACUUUCAUUUAAAAAUAUUUGCCUUAAAAUGACGCUUACUAGUCAAUUGAAUUUUAUUUUUUUUGUGAUACUGAACUUUUGAGCCCAGAAAUUAAGGCGCUUACUUAGUCGAUCAAUUGAAAAUGACAAUACAAAAUAAAAAUCCCGACUCUACUAGAGGUGGUUACUAAUUCCCCAAAGAAUAAGCUGAUCACUAGCCAUCACCAUGCAUCCCUGUAAAAUCACUAGCCAUCAAUUGAAAGUAAGGCGGCUAGUCAAUUGAAAAUCACUAGCCAUCAUCAUGGCUGAUGCAUCCCUGUAAAAUAUUUCUCAUUUCAUUGCUUGAAUGCCUUCUUCUCCAAAUUUUCCUGUCCACAGACAAUGUUAAGUUUUAAUGAGUCUCCAGAGGAGGAAACUUCCCUUCGGGAUAAUCCUAUCAAUGAUACCUCUGGAGUGCUCAGAGUCAAUGGUCAAGAUAACCUCCUCCUAUACGGCAAAAACACCAAGUUAACUAGUCCUGUCUGGUUCACACAUGCUUCAGUCUCAUCACCCAGCAACUCUAUGGCUCAACUUCUAAAUUCAGGAAACCUUGUUCUGACUCAUUCCAAGAGGCAUCAGUCUCAUGGAAAAGUAUUGAUCAUCCUACCAAUACCAUGCUUCUUUUUGCAACACUUGGACGUUUGGAUAGGAAAACUGGUCAACAGGUUUUUAACAUCUUGGAAGUUCCUAAAUGAUUCAGGAACUAGUGAUUUUGCGAGUAUUUAUUUUUAUUAUCAUAUAAUUAAGUAAGAAAUAGUUUAAAAAACAAAGUUAUUAAAUUUAGUGGAGUCCAUGACUCGGUUCACGGGUUAAGAUGCGAAGCCCAACUCGAUUCAAUAUGUCGGUGUCUCAAAAAACAUUUUAUAAAAUGUCAUCUUGAAAUUUGUUUUAAAGUCAAACCAUGUUUUUACAUGUUAUUUGAGUUGCUUUUGAAUACGUAAAGUCGAUUAGGACAUAUUGAGGCAACUUCCACACAAUUUAAUUUGAAACCCCAGUUAAAAGAAAAGUCGAAUCGAAAGGUUUCAUUGUUGACUCACUAAACUGGAUUUAAUAAUAUUGCUAGAAAUUUUCAUGAGGCUUGAAUAUAUUUUUUACAUUAAAAAAAAAUUGAUCCAAGCAAGCUCAACUAAACAUUCCUAACUAUUAAAAUGAAUCUCUUCAUCAUUUAAAGUCAAAGUAGACAAAUAUGCCUCAAUAGUCUCCCAAUUUAAAUCCUCUUUAUCAAGAAAGCUAAGUUCUUCACAAAUCUACUCAUUCAAUAAUUCAAUAUUAUCAAGGCUAAUGAGAUAUAAAGUAUCUUUUUUUUCAUCUUAAAUUCCUACAAAAUACAAACGUAUAGGAAUCUCUCUCCUAAAAUGGUUUAGAAUAUUUCUCACUUGUGGUUCGUGUGAAAUAAUGUUACAGACCAAACAAUUGGACGGCUUGUGAUUUGCGAUAACUCAGCUUUAAGAAACUUUUUCAAAAUAAAUAAAAAAUAUUUAAUCUUCAGGUAAUCUUCGUAUAAAACCUGAAAAACACUAUAUUUAUCUAACAAAAACUUUGGAACUAUCGAAAAAUCUUAAAUUUAUUAUUUACGCUGCCUGUAUGCGUUUUGGGAAACCCAACACAUUCACCAUUUUCUUGUUGUCUUUGCAUGUCAUUGUGUCAUACAUAUUUGAAAUAGUUAUAGCAAGGAAUUGAAAACUAUUUGGGAAUGUAUAGAAGCCAACUAGGGUGCUAUAUGUGUCGGGAUUGUCUUACAUCGAAUUUGUUUUCAAGAAUCAAUAACAUUUUCGUAUCUCACUAGUGAUUUAACAAACUAAAAAUCGACAAGAUUUUUCUUUUAAUACGCAAUCAGCUCACAAGAGUUGUGCAAACUUGGGACCAAAACAAAUCUCACCAGAAAAAAGCAACUAGCAAGAUAGAUAUCUUUUUGUCACAAAACCAAAAUUAACUUAUAUUUUCUUUUUUGCUUGAUCCAUUGCUUUAUAUAUUAAACUCAUAAUUGGUUUCUUAUAUGAAUCAACUAAUUUAAGAACUUUAAUUAGAGGAUAUGUUGCUUUAAUACAUAUAGUGACAUCAUGCUAGAACCUACUAUCCAAAACAUAGUUUUGAAUUUGUUUCCCUUCUUCAAUUCUUGAAAACCUACAUGACCUUCACUAUUUAGAAGUAAACAUAGGCAUUAGCUGUAUUUUAUGAUCAAUCAAACAUCCUAGAAUCAAAUAUGCAGUAGCAAAUCGAGCAGCAGCAGCCCUAAUCAAAUCCUAUCCUUUUGUAAAGUGCCUUAGGAUGAAAAUAAGUAUAGUACUUGAAUAAAUAUAUGAGGUGACUCUCAUUCGCUUAGCAAUAGUUACUUGAUAAACCUCUAGCUUCUUCUCAAAAAUUUUCAAUGUCAAGUCAAUACAAGAAGCAUCACAUGGUGUCCAAAAUAGCUUUUUUUAUUUUUUCCAAUCAAUAAUUGUCCUGUUGCCUUAUAAUUUGCAGCGUUAUUGGUCAUUACUUACACAACAUUUUCCUAUAUUUAGUUCUAAAAGUGCUGGUUUUGUUAAUUAGAAAGGCCAUAAAAUUUCUUGAAAAUGAAAAUAGUUGGUAAAUUCAAAAUUCAUGAAUCCUUUGAUUUUGUUCUAUUUUAAUUUCUAUUAACCAAUGGCAGAUUGCAUAUUGUAGUGAUGGUUUGUUUAAAAUUUGGAACAUUGGAAAGACUUUAAGAAACAGAGGCUAGGAUGUUAGGUUUUUGAUUUUGUGGUGCAGUUACUGUAUUAUAUAUAUAUAUAACUGGGUUUAAAAUCGUGAUUUUACAUGAUUUUAAAGAUUUAAUAUGAUUUUAUCACUUUUUAAAUUUUAAAAUUGAUUUGAUAUAAUAAAUAUAUUGACUUAUAUAAUUUUACAAGUUAACUCGUAGUAUCGUUAUGGCCUUUCAAGUGGUCAUUUAAUACACGGCUGGCUCCCCUGAGCAACCCUAAUAAUCGGUCAAGAAAAAUUCUAUGAAGCGUUAGUAGUUGGCUUUUUGGCUCCAAUCAUUAAAACCCCAACUGCACUACCAAGUCAUUUACUCACCCCACCAACACACAAUCAUUGAAACAAAUUAUGAAUCCUAUAGAAAGGUUUUUGAGUAUAUUGUUUCUCUUCCUUGUUUUUCCUUCUUGCUUAUCUAUUGACAUCAUAGCUCCAAACCAGUCAAUCAAAGAUGGAGAUGUUCUGGUCUCUAGUGGACAAAGCUAUGAACUCGGGUUCUUUAGCUCAGGCAUCAAUCCUACUCGUCGUUAUGUGGGAAUUUGGUACCAUAGUACUAAGGUUUCAGAACCAACUGUUGUAUGGGUGGCAAAUAGAGAUAAUCCUAUCAAUGGUACCUCCGGAGUCCUAGCUAUCAACAAACAAGGUAACCUUGUAAUUUAUGAAAAUAACCGAAGUAGUGUUCCUGUUUGGUCUUCAAAUGCUCCAGCCUCAAUAUCAAUGACAAAUUGCACGGCUCAGCUCCUGGAUUCAGGAAACUUGGUCUUAGUUCAACAGGAUAGCAAAGGGAUCUUGUGGCAGAGUUUUGAUCAUGGUACAGAUACUCUGCUUCCUGGUAUGAAGGUUGGGCUGGACCUGAAAAUCGGUUUGAACCGGUCUCUGUCAUCUUGGAAGUCCAAAGAUGACCCGGGAACCGGAACCAUUUUUUCUAUGGUAUUGAUCCAAGGGGGUUUCCCCAGUUGUUCCUAUACAAGGGUCAAAUCCCAUGGUGGCGUAGCGGACCAUGGACUGGACUAGGAUGGAGCGGAGUACCCCAAAUGGCCUAUACCUCCAACUUCGAUUUUACUUUCGUUAGCAGUCUUGAUGAGGUAUCUAUAUUCUAUACUAUGAAUAAUCCCUCCAUCAUUUCAAGAAUGGUGGUGAACGAAUCAGGAGUAGUGCAACGGCUGUCGUGGAACGACCGUCAUCAACAAUGGAUCGGAGUUUGGUCCGCCCCAAAAGAACCAUGUGACACCUAUGGCCAAUGUGGUCCAAAUAGUAACUGUGACCCGUAUCAAGCAAAUAAUUUCAUAUGCAAAUGUCUACCCGGAUUCGAACCCAAGUCAUCCCAAGAAUGGUACCUAAGAGACGGGUCAGGAGGUUGUGUCAGGAAACCUAACGUGUCCACGUGUCGCGGCGGAGAAGGGUUCGUCAAGUUGGCUCGAGUGAAGGUGCCGGAUACAUCAAUGGCGAGUGCGAACAUGAAUUUGAGAUUGAAAGAAUGUGAGCAAGAGUGCUUGAGGAAUUGUUCUUGUACAGCUUAUGCUAGUGCUGACGAAAGAGGACUUGGGUGCUUGAGAUGGUAUGGUGAUCUGGAGGAUACAAGAACGUUUUCAGAUGUGGGGCAAGAGAUUUACAUCCGUGUGGAUAGAGCUGAAUUAGGUACAUGGUCAUGUCCAAUUCUACUGUCUAUGUUUUUUUAGUUUUAUUGAAUUAUCUUGAUGUGUGUGUGUAUUUUUAUUAUGAUAAAAAAAAGUUAGUUUAAAAAAAUAAAAUUGUUGAAGUAAUUAGAUUUAUAAUUCAUGUUUCAAGAUUAAAUAUCUUCGAUUACAUCUAUAUUUUAAUUUUUUAAUUUAAUCUUUGAUUAAAUAUUAUUUAAUAUCUUUCUUAGUUUUGAAAAAAAAAAAAAUUAUUUUUUUAAUAUUAGUAUUUUUUUUUGUAACCCUAAAAAAGUCUCUCUUUUUUUUUAUCUUAUUCAAUUACUUUCAAAUACAUAUUUGUUUUUAUUAUCGUUUGAUAAAAUAAAAAAAUUAAUGUUAAAAAAUAAAAUUAUUAAACAUGGUCAAGUUCAUGGACUCUAAUAUAAGAUCAAUAUCUUUAUCUACUUCCAUGUUUUAAUUUUUCAGUUUAAUUUUUAAUUUUCAAUAAUGAUUUGUUUAUUUUUUCUGUGUAUUAUGGUAAAUAAUUUUUAAUUUAUUUAAUUAAAUAUAUAUGUGCAUUAGUUUUUUAAUUUACAAUUAAAAAAUAAUAUCAUAAAUAUGUUUCAAACGUCUAUAUAUUCGUGGUUUUGCAUUAAAAAAUAAUCUGACCAUGGCAAAGCAAGUCAAGUGGCUAGUUUCCCACUAAUUGUACUUGUCUUCAAGAUCCAAGCACUGCAUCGGCGACCAUGUUUAUCAUAAUUUCUUGUCUUGUAUAGUAUAGUCCAGUCUCAUCUACUCAGACAAACUUAAAAAUUAAAUUUAGUUUACUUAAGUCUCAAGCUCGUAUGAUCCUACGAAGGAGAUAGAAACAACAAUUAUCAUAGUUAAUAAAGUUUUUGGGGCAAGCAAAUUAGGUGAUGAAAAUUAUUCAAUACUUGUAGUUUACUCUUUGUUUUUUAAUUUCUCACAUUUAUAUGGUAUUCAAUUAUAUGAAAAAAAAUAGAAUAGAGAGUAAUUAAAUAUAAAUUUAUAGUACUGAAUAAUUCCAAAUCAACAGCUUGAAAGAUUUAAUUUUCAACUCUUAUCACUAAACAUUUCUUAUAUUUUCAAUUUCAGCUAAAUAUGAAAAGUCAGGACCUCUUGCCAAUAAAGGAAUUAAAGCAAUCCUGAUAGUGUCUGUUGUUGUGACAUUGUUUCUGAUCAUCUUCCUUGUGUGUUGGUUUGUAAGGAAAAGGAGAAAAGGUAAGCAAAUUCACUUCAAAUGUUGCUCCUGAGCAAUAUAUUUUUCGUAACAUUAUUAAACUCAGGGUGUUGAGUCAGUAAAAAUGCAAUGUGAUGCUGAGCUAGAGUUUCAAUAUUUCUGAUAGUCUUGAGCUCAAAAAAAUAUACCUUGAGUUAUAAGUUUUACCAGCCAGAAAUAAGUUUGCAUGUUGAUGACAGCCAGGGACAGGAAAGGAAGAAACGAAUUUCCGCUAUCAUUAACUUCAAGGUCACAUUCCUCGAGAGAGUUACCAAUUAACGAAUUUGAGGAAGGUACAACAAGUUCAGAUUUACCACUUUUUGAUCUUAGUGUCAUAGCUGCGGCAACAAAUAAUUUCUCAGAUGCCAACAAGCUUGGAGAGGGUGGUUUUGGCUCAGUGUAUAAGGUAGCCUAGCCUGCCUUGAAGUCCCUCAAACACAUAGCAUCACUUCAGUUUACAUGUUGAACUAUGAGAUUGAUGAAUUUGGAUUGAGAUUUUCAGGGUCUGCUGCAUGAUGGAAAGGAAAUUGCGGUCAAAAGACUAGCAAAGUAUUCUGGACAAGGGAUUAAUGAGUUCAGAAAUGAAGUCGAGCUCAUUGCAAAACUUCAGCACAGGAAUCUUGUGAGGAUAUUAGGUUGUUGCAUCCAAGGAAGAGAGAAGAUGUUGAUCUAUGAAUACUUGCCAAACAAAAGUUUGGACUCUUUUAUUUUCAGUAUGUCAUCAUCGAUCAUUAUGUCAAAUUGUCCCUAUAUUGUGGAUUUUUCAGUUUUUCUCAUUCUAUAGAAGUUGAAAAAUGAUUACAAGCCUGCAUUGAUUUGAUGAGAUUUAUGCUUCUUUGGGUACAGAUGAACCAAGAAGGUCACAGUUAGAUUGGUCUACUCGCCACAACAUUAUUUGUGGGAUUGCUCGAGGAAUUUUAUAUCUUCAUCAGGACUCCAGAUUACGAAUCAUCCACAGAGAUCUUAAGGCAAGCAAUGUUCUACUAGAUGCCUCAAUGAACCCUAAAAUUUCAGAUUUCGGCAUGGCUAGAAUAUUUGGAGCAGAUCAAAUUGAAGCCAACACAAACCGUGUUGUUGGAACGUAGUAAGUUUAUCCUUAUAUAUUUAAUGAAUUAUAUUAAAAAAUAAUAUAAGAUUAUUUUUGAAUUUUAUCUAAUAAUUUAAGUUUUUUAGAUAAAUUAGUUUUUCGACAUAAUAUUAGAAUUUUAAUUAUUUUAUCUAAUUAAAUUAAUAAAAUUAAGAACUUAUACAAGUUUGAAAUGUUAGAAAAUAAUAUAAAAUUAUUUUUAAAAUCUUAUAAAAUUAUUUUUAUUUAUAUUUUUCUGAACAGCUGACUUUAUUAAGCUCUUCUUUUCCUAUGUUAUUGCAGUGGUUAUAUGUCACCAGAAUAUGCAAUGCAAGGCUUAUUUUCAGUAAAAUCCGAUGUAUAUAGUUUCGGGGUUUUGCUAUUAGAGGUCAUCACUGGGAGAAAAAACAGCCAUUUUUAUGAUGAAAGUAACUCUUCGAACUUGGUUGGAUAUGUAAGUAAUAAGAUCACAUAUACAUAUAUUGCCGAUUUUAAAAUUUCAACUCCAACAUAGCAUACUGAUGUGAAAUUUCUUUAGGUUUGGGAUCUAUGGAGAGAAGGCAGGGCCCUGGAACUAGUGGAUACAUUGAUGGGCGACUCGUAUCCUGAAGAUCAAGUCUUAAGGUGCAUCCAAAUUGGUCUUUUAUGUGUGCAAGAAUCUGCGAUGGACCGACCAUCAAUGUCUGAUGUUGUUUUCAUGUUGAGUAAUGACACAACUCUUCCAUCGCCCAAGCAACCUGCGUUUAUUAUGAAGGAGAGUUACUAUAGUGGAGAUCCAUUAACAAGUGAAGGAUCACAUUCUAUAAAUGAAGUGACAAUCACCAUGCUUGGACCUCGGUAGAGGCUUACAUAUAUCUGACGUUCUACUUUUAUUUGUUAAUAUUAAUGUGUAUUGAUAUUAUGAUAGCUUUUACGAUAAUAUUUUAAAAAUUAGGUUUAAAGUGGAAAUAAAAAAAUAUUAAUUAUAAUGUAUGUUAAUUAACUAAAUAUUUGUACAACUUUAAUAAAAAUAAAAUACAAAUUUAAUCACACCAUAUUGUUAUACCAAGUGGAUCCUAGUAGAAGUAGCAUGGUAGUGAAAUAUUAUUUAUUACAUUUCUAAGCUCUAAGCAUGUGGAACCAAGUAGUGUAGUUAUUCUUUAAUUAACCGACAAUGUAGAUAAAGAUGUCUCAAUAGUCUCCCAAUUUAAAUCAUCUUCAUCAAGAAAGCUAAGUUCUUCACAAAUCUACUCAUUUAAUAAUUCAAUGUUAUGAAGGCUAAUGCGAUCUAAAAUAUAUUUUUUUUUUUGUUUAAAUUCCUACAAAGUACAAACAUAAAAAAAAACAAUAUGAUUGUUAUCAAUAUAUUAGUGAUAAAUUCAAUUUUUGAAAAUAGUAUAUUUACAUAGUUAUAAAAGGUUUAGACAAGACCUAUUUGCAAUACUAAGUCAAUAAUCAUGCCAAUUGUAAUAUAUUCUUGCACUGCAUGAAGAACAAAAACAUUCAUUUUCCAUGGAGGGACAAGAUGAGGUAAGGAGAUUAGAUAAUAGGUACAAAAUAACUUAUGAAAAUUAUAAAGUUGUUAUAAUAAUGAGAAACUUAUUGCAUUAAAGCAUUAUUCCUAAAUAUCUUAGUCGAUAUUCUAUUAAGACUUGAUAUUAGUUAGAGUUAUUGAGACCAAUGUAUCUUAUGUUCCUUCCUUUAUGAAAGGAAGAAGUUGCUCUUAUAAACUGAGGUAUGAGAGAUGUCUAUAACUAAUAUAUAGGUGCUUGUAAUAUGACAUAUACAUUGAACUGACUUGUAAGAGAAUUUUAUAUAGGGAGAUUACUUAUGUCUAUAGAAAGGUUCACGUGAUAAUUUAUAUUAUAUAGAGAGUGUUAUGUUUUGAUCCUGACCACAUAUUAUCCUAAUCAAAGAUAACAAAUAGGCAAAUAUUAGGUAUGACAUAUAGUACUAAAUGAAGGUAUUUAAGUAAUAAAGAGAGGAUUCAUCACUCUAGGUGAAUUAAAAAAAAUAUUACGUAUGAUCUUAAAUAAUAUUGAUUGUGAAACCCUUGGCCAAGAUAGAAAGAGUUUUGAAAAAAAUUUCAGAAUUUUUCUCAAAAAAUUAAUGACUACAAUGUUGAGAACUAACAUGAUUUAACAAAGCAGAAUAGUUCAUGUUAUAAUGUCUAAAUCGAAAUAUUUAUGAUAAAUUAAUGAAUAAUAAUUACACUGGAAAACUACUCACUAAAAAGUUAAGUCGAAUUACUUAUAACUUUUUUUAACAUUUGAUGGAUCAUUAUAGGUUAUUAAACAUUAUACUUGAUCUUCAAAUAUAAAUCAAUCAGUUUUUAAAUUGAUAAUAAAUUAAAUUAUAUAAUUUAAUUACUCUUGUUUUAUUUUGGUCCGCACCUGCUGACCAGUGUGACAAUUAUGGGCGGUGUGGAGCUUAUGGUAAGUAUGAUCCCUAUGAUGCUUAUAACUUUGAGUGUACAUGCCUCCCUGGCUACCGGCCCAAAUCAAUUAGUGAUUGGUACCUCAGAGAUGGGUCAGGUGGAUGCAUCGAGAAGAAUCUCACAGGAAUGUGCAACAAUGGUGAAGGGUUCGUCAAGGUGGAAAACGUGAAGGUACCACAUCCUUCAACUGCCCGUGAGGAUAACAAUUUGGAUCUGAAAGCUUGCAUGUAGCAAUGCUUGAGGAAUUGUUCCUGCACAGCCUACGCAAGUUCAGUUGUGACAAGUAAGAGUGGGUGCUUCUCAUGGUAUGGCAAUUUGCUUGAUACAAGAGCGUUCGCUGAGGGAGGACAGGAUUUAUAUGUCCGUGUGGAUGCGUUUGAGUUAGGUACCUUCAAAUCUUAUUGUCAUUAUAUAUCUUUGCUGCAUUUUUCAACAACAGAUUAAUCUUCAAUACGUCUUAGAUAGAGGAUUUUCAGAACAAAAAAUAUAGACAUCUGAAAUAAAAAUUAUGGGUACAAGUACAACGGAAGUACCAGGGACAUUUCUAAUAUGGCUAAACCCUCCCCUGCACUCACCUUACUGAUAAUCCUGAUGAUUUGGUAUCAAGCUAAUGUGGAUUUCUUUCUUUCUCCAGCUCAAUAUGACAAGAAGUCUAGAGGUUUUCUUUCAAAGAAAGGGAUGUUAGCUGGUUUGGUACUCUCUAUAGCUGCUGGGGUUUUCUUUGUCAUUCUAUUCUCAUUCUGGUUGAUAAAAAGGAAGAAGACGGGUAAGAGAUUAUUUUUUCAACUUCGUUACCAAUAUAAGUGACACCAAAUUAGUUGAACUAAAGAAUUCCAACUUUUAGUCUAUGCAUACAGGAGAUGAUAGUCUGCAAAAUGCAGUGUGUAAUCAAAACUUCUUCGUUUUGGUAAGAAAAAAAAACAAAAAAAACAAAAGUCAACGGGUUUGUGGCCGGGUCGGCCGGGUCACACCGGGUUUUUUUUUUUUUUUUUUUUUUCAACCCGGCCCGGUUCUAACCCUGAGUCGGCCGGGUCCCGGAUCGACCAGCCGGGCCGAACCGGGUUUCAAAACACUGCUUGUUAGUACUUUUAAAAGCUGAUUAUUGAGUUCUUUCAACGAUAAACACAGCUAAGGGCAGACAACUCAAAUUUCCCUUCAAUAUCCCUACAAGCCUCAAUGGCUGUCUACGUGGAAAGGAAGUUGGUGGAAGUAAUUUUAAAAUUUUAAAAUUUAAAUUUAAAAUUAUUUUGAUGAUUUUUUUUCCACUGAAAAUUAGUAGAGAAGGAGCAAAAGUACAUUAUAGUUCCUGUUUUUCUUAUAAAUUGACAAAUCAUUUCUUUAACCGAAAUUAAUCUUUAAUUUUUUAAGAUCUAUUUUUUAACCUUUUUGAAAAUUAAAUUAAAAGCAAAUAGAAAACAAAUUAAGUUAUAUGACAAUAUAAUAGAACUUAAAGAAUUUCUUCGCAAAAUUUGAGAUUGAAAGUUAUAUUAAUUUUAGUCAUAUAAAUCAUUUGGCAUGACUAGACCUGUUUUAGGCUCGCACAAGUCCUUAUAGUCCAUAAAUAUUAUGCUAGGCUUUUCACAUGGUGUAAUUUCAACAAAUUCCCAUCUAGUAUUCAGAACAUCAUGCAUCAGAGAGUUUCAGUGCAAGCUCUAGACUAGACCGCUGAUCUCUCAAUGAUCAAGAAGCUUCAUUCUCCGUUGAAUCUCAAUCUCUUAGAUAUUAUCCAUUUAACUUUCAUUUAAAAAUAUUUGCCUUAAAAUGGUGGAUCGAAGAAAUUAAUUGGAAUUAGAUCCAAUUUGAGCCAAGAAAUUAAGGCGCUUACUAGUCAAUUGAAAAGGACAAUACAAAAUAAAAAUCCCGACGCUAAAAGAGGUGGUUACUAAUUCCCCAAAGAAUAAGCUACCUUGAUGUAUUAACCUGAUCACUAGCCAUCACCAUGCAUCCCCAAAGAAUUUUUUUUUAAAAUGAAACGAUGUUUUUACAAGUUGUUUGAGUUGCUUUUAAAUACACAUAGUUGACUAGAUUAUAUUGAGGCAACUUCUACAUAAUUUAAUUUGAAACCCUAGCUAAAAAAAAACAGUCAAAUAGAAAGGUUUCAUUGUUGACUCACUAAACUGGAUUUAAUAAUAUUAUCAGUAUAUAUUUUUUACAUUAAAAAAAUUUGAUCCAAUCAAGCUCAACUCAACAUUCCUAGUUAUUAAAAUGAAUCUCUUCAUCAUUUAAAGUCAAAGUAGACAAAAAUACCUCAAUAAUCUUUUAAGUUAUGACAAUAUAAUAGAACUUAAAGAAUUUCUUCGCAAAAUUUGAGAUUGAAAGUUAUAUUAAUUUUAGUCAUAUAAAUCAUUUGGCAUGACUAGACCUGUUUUAGGCUCGCACAAGUCCUUAUAGUCCAUAAAUAUUGUCGCACCCCCAAAAAAACUAUUUCUAUCGCGGGUUCGACUGGCGAAUUUUUUUAUUUAUUUUUGGUUUGAUUUGGUUCUUUGGAGUCGCCACCUAGUAUUUUGGUCACUAGGAACCCUAACUGGUCUCAGAGAUCGGGUACGGAGACUGGUUGCGUAACGGGAAGGUAUUAGCACCCCAAAUACACCUUACCUAAGGUAAGCUGCAUUGUUUUAUUGUAUGAUAAAAAAACUAAGGUGUUAUUGUGUUUUCAUAGUUGUUGGUCUGUCUAUGGUUCAAGAAAAAUCCUCCUCGGUAAGGAGAUCUUUAUCUUAUCGGGUAAAAAUCCUAAACGUUCUAACGUCCAUACCAAAAUUUUAUUAAUAAUAUUUAGGAAUACAUUUUACGUAUAAAUUCGUAAUCCCAAAUACUAAAAGAAAACAAAAAGAUUUUUUAGAAUUUUUGAAAUAUUGGCCUAGUUCUCAUGGCUUGAAUAAACUGGUUAUUAAAGCCAAAAUGCAUGUUAAUACAUAUAUUGUUUUGAAAAUUUUCUUUGUUGUGUGAAAAUAUGAUGUUAUAAUAUUUAUAUAUAUAUAUUGGAGAGACUAGGCCGUAUUUUAAAACAAAAACAAUUUUUGGAAAAUAUUUUUUUUUUGCUUUGACGAAAAUCGGGUAUUUUAAUACUGAGCUUGUAUCCUUACGGUAUAAAAAUACAACCCAAUAUUAAUCCACUUUGAUAAAAAUAUGCAGAAAAAUCAACAACAUUUUUAGGGACUUUUUAGAAUUUUUUGAAAGCAAAAACAUUUUUUAUUCUGAAAAUCUUUGAUAUUUUGACGAAAACCGGGUAUUUUUAACACUGGUUUUGUAUCUUUACGGUAUAAAAAUACAAACCAACAUUAACCACUUUUGACAAAAAUAUGCAGAAAUCAACAAUAUUUUUUAAGAUUUUUCAAAAUUUUUUUUUAAUUAUUAUAUUUUUUUAUUAUAUAAUUAUACACACAUAUAUUAUAACAUAUUAUAUAAUAUAUAAUAUAAAAACAAUUCGGGCUGGGCCGGCCCAAAUAAACAGGCCGGACUCAGCCCACAAAGAAAGGUUGGGCCGAACUCGGCCCAGACUGGGUUGGGCCGAUCUCGGCCCAACAGGCCAUCAUGCUUCUUCUGGUCUGGGCCGGACCCGGCCCAGACCUAUAGACUGGGCUAGAACCGGUCUGGCCCAGGAGAGAAAAAAAAUGAAACGGGGAGGGGAAUUAAUUUUCCCCUCCCGUCCUCCUGCAUGCAAUAGGAUUAUGCAUGCAGGAGGAAGACGUUGGCGAAAACAAAGCCAGGGGGGAGAGGACGUUACCUGGCGUGGAGGAGGCGGUGCUGCGGUGGCUCUGUGGUGGCGUGGCUGCGCGGGCGGCGCCGCUAGGGCUGUUGUGGGGAGAAAAGAUUUUCUUCCUCUUCCCCUCUUCUUCUUUUUUUUGUUUUCGGUCUUUCUCUCUUUUCCUUCUAUUCUCUUUGUUUUCUGUUUUCUUUUUUUUGUUUUCGGUUUUCUUUUUCUCUUUUCACUCUCUCCUGUUUGUUCUCUCUCUCUUCGGGCUCCUCUCUCUCUCCUCCCUUUUUUUUUCGGUUUUCUUCUCUAUUUAUAGGGGCAGAACCGUGGGGGGCUAUUGUUAGUACGGUGCAACAGCCGGUCGGCCAAUGUCUAAAGGUGGUGGGGGCGAGGAGAGAGAGGCGGGAAGAUUUGAAGAAAAAAAAAACGAAAAUGGUUUUCUUCUUCUGCUGCUCUGCUUCGGGGGGAAGGAGGAAGAUGAACAGUGUCGUUCAAAAAUAAACUUUAUGCAAUUUAGCCACUCUUGUUGGCCGCCUUUUUCACUUUGGUCCUUGGCCUCUGAUUUAUGCAAUUUAGCUCUCAAUUGAUUAAUAAACUUUCAAUUUCUUCAAUUAGGCCCCUGAACCGAAAAAUUGCAGCCCCUCCAUUGGCCUGGUUUCGGAUUUUCUUAAUUAAAUCCCUAAUUGGCCCUUAAACUUCAAUAUUUAUGCAAUUAAGCCCCUGAUUUGACCCAAUAAAUUCCUAAAAAAUAUAUUUUGGCCCCAGAACUUAAAUUUCUUCUAAUUAAAGCCCAAAUUGACUUAAAAAUCAAUUUUUCUUGUAAUCAAACCUUCUAUAAAUUCAAAUAAAAAUCCAAUUAAGUCCAUAAACAUCCAAAUUUGGGCUUUUCUCCUCAAAAUUCAAAUUUUCUUUCUUAAUAGGGCUUUCAUCCUUUAAGAAAAUACUGUCAAAAAUUCAAUCCUUGUAUUUUUAAAUUCCUUGACCAAUUUUCUGACUGUUUUCUGAGCGCUUCUGCCUCCUGUUAUUUUUCUAACCUCUUUUGGCUUAUUUAUUUUAUUUUUUUUAUGGGGACCCAAAAAUGGGUUACAACAAAUAUUAUGCUAGGCUUUUCACAUGAUGUAAUUUCAACAAAUUCCCAUCUAGUAUUCAGAACCUCAUGCAUCAGAGAGUUUCAGUGCAAGCUCUAGACUAGACCGCUGAUCUCUCAAUGAUCAAGAAGCUUCAUUCUCCGUUGAAUCUCAAUCUCUUAGAUAUUAUCCAUUUAACUUUCAUUUAAAAAUAUUUUCCUUAAAAUGACGCUUACUAGUCAAUUGAAUUUUAUUUUUUUGUGAUACUGAACUUUUGAGCCAAGAAAUUCAGGCGCUCACUUAGUCAAUUGAAAAUGACAAUACAAAAUAAAAGUCCCGACUCUACUAGAGGUGGUUACUAAUUCCCCAAACAAUAAGCUGAUCACUAGCCAUCAACAUGCAUCCCUGUAAAAUAUUUCUCAUUUCAUUGCUUGAAUGCCUUCUUCUCCAAAUUUUCCUGUCCACAGACAAUGUUAAGUUUUAAUGAGUCUCCAGAGGAGGAAACUUCCCUUCGGGAUAAUCCUAUCAAUGAUACCUCUGGAGUGCUCAGAGUCAAUGGUCAAGAUAACCUCCUCCUCUACGGCAAAAACACCAAAUUAAUUAGUCCCGUCUGGUUCACACAUGCUUCAGUCUCAUCACCCAGCAACUCUAUGGCUCAACUUCUAAAUUCAGGAAACCUUGUUCUGACUCAUUCCAACAGGCAUCAGUCUCAUGGAAAAGUAUUGAUCAUCCUACCAAUACCAUGCUUCUUUUUGCAACACUUGGACGUUUGGUUAGGAAAACUGGUCAACAGGUUUUUAACAUCUUGGGAGUUCCUAAAUGAUUCAGGAACUAGUGAUUUUGCGAGUAUUUAUUUUCAUUAUCAUAUAAUUAAAUAAGAAAUAGUUUAAAAAACAAAGUUAUUAAAUUUAGUGGAGUUCAUGACUCGGUUCACGGGUUAAGCCUCGAAGCCCAACUCAAUUCAAUAUGUCGGUGUCUCAAAAAAUAUUUUAUAAAAUGUCAUCUUGAAAUUUGUUUUAAAGUCAAACCAUGUUUUUACAUGUUAUUUGAGUUGCUUUUGAAUACGUAAAGUCGAUUAGGACAUAUUGAGGCAACUUCCACACAAUUUAAUUUGAAACCCCAGCUAAAAAAAAAGUUGAAUUGAAAGGUUUCAUUGUUGACUCACUAAACUAGAUUUAAUAAUAUUGCUAGAAAUUUUCAUGAGGCUUGAAUAUAUUUUUUACAUUAAAAAAAUUUGAUCCAAGCAAGCUCAACUAAACAUUCCUAACUAUUAAAAUGAAUCUCUUCAUCAUUUAAAGUCAAAGUAGACAAAUAUGCCUCAAUAGUCUCCCAAUUUAAAUCCUUUUUAUCAAGAAAGCUAAGUUCUUCACAAAUCUACUCAUUCAAUAAUUCAAUAUUAUCAAGGCUAAUGAGAUAUAAAACAUCUUUUUUUUCUUCUUAAAUUCCUACAAAAUACAAACAUAAAAGAAAACAACAUGACUGUUAUAAUAUAUAUUAUUGAUAAAUUCAAUUUUUUUAAAUAAUAUAUUUACAAAGAAGGUAUAAAAGGUUUAGACAAGAUCUAUUUGCAAUACUAGGUCGGGAAUCCUGCCAUCAUAAUAUAUUCUUGUGCAAGAACCUGUUUGAAGACCAAAAAUAUUCAUUUUUCAUAGAGGGACAAGAUGAGAAUAAGAGAUUAGAUAGUAGGUACAAAAUGCUACUACGUGAAAAAUUAUAAAAUUAUUAUAAUUAUGAAAAACCUAUUGUAUCAAAAUAUUAUUUCUAAAUAUUAUUGGUCAAUGUUCUAUUAAGACUAGACAUUAAUUAUAGUUAUUGAGGCCAAUGCAUAUUAUAUUCUUUCAUUUAUGAAAUGAAAUAGUUGCUCUCAUAAACUGAUGUAUUAAGAUACCUAGAACUAAUAUGCAGGUGCUCGUCAAAUAACAUGUACACUGAACUAACUUGUAUGAGAUUUCUAUAUGGGGAGAUCACUUAUGUCUAUGGAAAAGCUCACAUGAUAAUUGUGUAAGUGAUUUUUAAAUUUGAGAUAACUAAUUUUUAUUAUAUAGAGAGUGUUAUGUUUUGAUCUUGACCAUAUUUUGUCCUAAUCAAGGAUAAUAAACAAGCAAAUAUUGGAUAUAACAUAAACUAUAUGAAAGUAUUUAAGUAAUAAAGAGAUGAUUCAUUACUCUAGGUGAAUUUGAAAAAUAUUACAUAUAUUCUUAAAUAGUAUUAAUUGUGAAACCAUUGGCCUAGGUGGAAUGAGUUUUGAAAAAAAUUUCAAAAUCUUACCCAAAGAAUUAAUGACUAUAAUGUUGAGAACUAACAUGAUUUAACAAAGUAAAAUAUCUCAUGUUACAAUGUCUAAAUCGAUACAUUCAUGAUAAAUGAAUAAUAAUUACAUUGAAAAACUGGUCAUUGAAAGGUUAAGUCAAACCACUUAUAAUUUUUUUAAUAUUUGGUGUAUUAUGAUAAAUUGUUAGACAUCAUACUUGAUCUUUAAAUAUAAGUCAAUCAAUUUUUGAAUUAAGAAUAAAUUAAAUUGUUUAAGUUAUUUAAUCUUAUUUUAUUUAGGAUUAUUAUUUAUAUUUUGGCCAACUUAUUAGGAAACCUAAUGGUUACACACAUAAAAAGUAUUAGUAAAAAAUUAAAAGGGGAUAAUUAAUCAAAUAUGACUUAAUUGUAAAUAAAUUUUAAAGAUAGAGGACCAGAAUGUAAUUGAUAUAAGGGAUUACAAUUCUAGACCUAUAAACAAUCAAGUAAGGAAUUAAUUUAAUAAAUUUCUAAAACUAACCGAAAAUAAUAUAUGUGAUAUUAUUUAAAGGACAAAUUUAUAUUUUGCCAUUUAUAGUGUUUUCAGGUUUCCAUAUAAUAAGAAAGUUAUGUCUCUUAUUUUUUAUGAGUAGAGUGGAGUACAAAAAUAUUCAAAUACAAAAAUAAAAGAGUUAACACUCAAACGUAUAGGAAUCUCUCUCUUAAAAUGGUUUAGAAUAUUUCUCACUCGUGGUUCGUGUGGAAUAAUGUUACAAACCAGACAAUUGGACGGCUUGUGAUUUGUGAUUUUAAGAAAUUUUUCAAAAUAAAAGAAUAUUUGAUCUUUAAGUAAUCUUCGUAUAAAACCUGAAAAACAUUAUAUUUAUCUAAUAAAAACUUUGGAACUAUUGAAAAAUCUUAAAUUUAUCAUUUACGCUGUGUGUAUGUGUUUUGGGAAACCCAACACAUUCACCAUUUACUUGUUGUCUUUGCAUGUCAUUGUGUCAUACAUAUUUGAAAUAGUUAUAGCAAGGAAUUGAAAACUAUUUAGGAAUGUAUAGAAGCCAACUAGGGUGCUAUAUGUGUCGGGAUUGUCUUACAUCGAUUUUUUUUUUCAAGAAUCAAUAACAUUUUCGUAUCUCACUAGUGAUUUAACAAACUAAAAAUUGACAAGAUUUUUCUUUUAAUACGCAAUCAGCUCACAAGAGUUGUGCAAACUUGGGACCAAAAAAAUUCUCACCAGAAAAAAGCAACUAGCAAGAUAGAUAUCUUUUUGUCAUAAAACCAAAAUUAACUUAUAUUUUCUCUUUUGCUUGAUCCAUUGCUUUAUAUAUUAAACUCAUAGCUGGUUUCUCAUCUGAAUCAACUAAUUUAAGAACUUUAAUUAGAGGAUAUGUUGCUUUAAUACAUAUAAUGACAUCAUGCUAGAACCUACUAUCCAAAACACAAUUUUGAAUUCGUUUCCCUUCUUCUAUUCUUGAAAACCUACAUGACCUUCACUAUUUAGAAGUAAACAUAGGCAUUAGCUGUAUUUUAUAAUCAUUCAAACAUCCUAGAAUCAAAUAUGCAGUAGCAAAUCAAGCAGCAGCAGCCCUAAUCAAACCCUAUCCUUUUGUAAAGUGCCUAGGAUGAAAAUAAGUAUAGUACUUGAAUAAAUAUAUGAGGUGACUCUCAUUCCCUUAGCAAUAGUUACUUGAUGAACCUCUAGCUUCUUCUUAAAAAUUUUCAAUGUCAAGUCAAUACAAGGAGCAGCACAUGGUGUCCAAAACAACUUCUUUAUUUUUUGCAUCAAUAAUUGUCUUGUUGCCUUAUAAUUUGCAGUGUUAUUGGUCAUUACUUACACAACAUUUUCCUCCCUAACCCUGUCCACAAUGGCAUCCAACAUCUUAAAUUCCUUAUCAGCAAUCUUGGACAUAUUAGAAGUAUCCAUCGAUGAUAUAAAAAAAAAAAUUUGUCCCUUUAGGAUUAUUAGCUAAAAUGUUACAAAUACAACAUCUUUUUCUUAUCUAUCUAUAUCUAUAGACAUUAUUCAACAACCUUUUUUUUCAUUAUAGCUUGUAGUCCUCAAGCAAGUUUAUUGUUUGAUCAACUUCUUGCUUCAAAUACUUCUCUCUAAUAUCAUGAUAAGAUGGAGGCUUCAAACCUGACCCAUGCUUUGUAACCAAUUCAAGUAACUUAAAAAACUCAUGGUUUUUUACACAAUUAAAUGGAAUUGCACUAGUGUAGAAAAAUCUUGCGACAUGCUUCUUCUUUAAUAUCCUUUUUCAGCAAUUGAUUCAAGGUUGUUUGUGUACUUCCACUCCCACUCCCACUAGCUAAUCUCUUUCAUUUGUCCUUGAAGCUAAUUUCUUUCAUUUCAUCAUCAUCAUCUUUUCCAAUAUAUCAACGAACCUUUCUUUUAUUUUCAAUUGCUUCUAGAUUUUUCACUAAAACACCCAAAUUCAUAUGCUUAACAUUUUAUGGUACUUGUUGGCAUAACUCAACAUCCUUACGAGUACAAGCUAAAUGAUGUUUUAAACGAAAAAUACCUCAACUGAUAAUUUUUUUAUAAUGCUCUUGCACUGAAUUUUUCUAGAAUUUUUAUCAAUAUCUAUUUCAUAUUGUCAUCCCACAUCAAACUUAUUACCGGAAGUAUUUUUUCUAGAUGUCAUAUGUUUAACAAUUCAAGAAUCAACUAAAAUCAGCUCUCUAAUCAAUCCAAACAUUAUAGAAUUCUAAUUAGAUUUUAGUUAAAAAAGGACCAUAAUACACGUGUUAAACAAAACAAUUUAUAUAAUCCAGAAGCAUGCAUAAGGAACUCACAAAACUAAAGCAAUAAAAUGAUAAGAUUAUAUAAUAGAUAAGAGCGCAUAUAAUCAAGAAGAAAGAAAGUAAAACAUGCAUCCAUACUGUGUUGUAAAAGUGCUGGUUUUGUUCAUUAGAAAGGCCAUAAAAUUACUUGAAAAUGAAAACAAUUGCUAAAUUCAAAAUUCAUGACUCCUUUGAUUUUGUUCUAUUUUAAUUUCUAUUAACCAAUGGCAGAUUGCAUAUUGUAGUGAUGGUUUGUUUAAAAUUUGGAACAUAGGAAAGACUUUAAGAAACAGAGGCUAGGAUGUUAGGUUUUUGAUUUUGUGGUGCAGUUACUGUAUUUUAUAUAUAUAACUGGGUUUAAAAUCGUGAUUUUACAUGAUUUCAAAGAUUUAAUAUGAUUUUAUCACUUUUUAAAUUUUAAAAUUGAUUUGAUAUAAUAAAUAUAUUGACUUAUAAAAUUAUAUAUAUUUUAUAAGUCAACUCGUAGUAUCGUUAUGGCCUUUCAAGUGGUCAUUUAAAUACACGGCUGGCUCGCCUGAGCAACCCUAAUAAUCGGUCAAGAAAAAUUCUAUGAAGCGUUAGUAGUUGGCUUUUUGGCUCCAAUCAUUAAAACCCCAACUGCACUACCAAGUCAUUUACUCACCCCACCAACACACAAUCAUUGAAACAAAUUAUGAAUCCUAUAGAAAGGUUUUUGAGUAUAUUGUUUGUCUUCCUUGUUUUUCCUUCUUGCUUAUCUAUUGACAUCAUAGCUCCAAACCAGUCAAUCAAAGAUGGAGAUGUUCUGGUCUCUAGUGGACAAAGCUAUGAACUCGGGUUCUUUAGCUCAGGCAUCAAUCCUACUCGUCGUUAUGUGGGAAUUUGGUACCGUAGUACUAAGGUUUCAGAACAAACUGUUGUAUGGGUGGCAAAUAGAGAUAAUCCUAUCAAUGGUACCUCCGGAGUCCUAGCUAUCAACAAACAAGGUAACCUUGUAAUUUAUGAAAAUAACCCAAGUAGUGUUCCUGUUUGGUCUUCAAAUGUUCCAGCCUCAAUAUCAAAUUGCACGGCUCAGCUUCUGGAUUCAGGAAACUUGGUCUUAGUUCAGCAGGAUAGCAAAGGGAUCUUGUGGCAGAGUUUUGAUCAUGGUACAGAUACUCUGCUUCCUGGUAUGAAGCUUGGGCUGGAC
rnacentral:lncRNA from 1 species